rnacentral:lncRNA from 1 species
AUAAACUUACUUCUUGAUCAAAGAAAAAUGUCAUAUGUCUUCUUUUAUUCCUACCUUUAUUAUUAUCAGCAGAUUGUAUAUUUAAAAAAAAAAAAAGCUAAAAAGUUUAUAUAACAAAAUAUAAAUAAAUUUUUAUUUUAGCUGUAAAAUAAUCAAUUGAAGAGUAUUUCAUGUUUUUCUUUGAUACAGAGUGUAAAAUUAUGUUAUAAAGUUUUGUUUUUAGAGAAUACAUAUCUUAUUUUUUAAAAAAUAAUCAAUUAAAAAUUCUAAAAUAAACAAGUAUAUAUACUCAUAUAUAUUUCUUAACCAUUCAAACUUCUACUUUUUGAAUGGAUACAGAGUGUAAAAUUAUAUUAUAAAGUCUUAUUUUUGGAGAAUAUAUAUCUUAUUUUUGGAGAAAUAAUCAAUUAAAAAUUAUAAAAUAAACAACAAUAAGUAUAUGUACUCAUAUAUAUAUCUUAAUCAUUCAAACUUCUACUUUUUGAAUGGGUCCAAUUUUGUCACAUCUUUUUUUAAUUGACUGGCAUACUUUAACGCUGGGUUAUGAAAUGCAAAAAAUUUUAAUUUUUGAUAUUUUAAAAAAAAUAUACUCAAUUGAAGCGUUUAAUUAUGAAAAUCAAGUUUUAGAUAAGAAAAUAAAAUGAAAAAUCGUGAGAACUAAAAUUAAAUAAAUGUGAGCUUUAGGGAUAUACCACAUAACUUAAAUUAGAGAGAACUGAACAAAAAGAAAAAAGUAUUCUAUUAAUUCUAAGUGGUCUAUAUGCUCCAUUGCUUUCAAUAAUAACCUUAAAUUUCUUGAUGUAAAAUAAUAAACCUUCAUUUAGGAUUUUCUUCAAUCUGUACUCUAGAUUUUUGCUUAUUUCAACAUGCAUCAAAUUCAUCUAGGCAAAUAGAAACCUUAGUGACUAUCCAAACACAUAAUAAAAUUUUUACAAUUAAUUAAAAUGAGAUCAAAAUACCUUCUAGUAUAAAAAUCAUAUUCAAAGUAAUCAACUCAACUCACUAUUUCUCUCGGUACUAACAGAUUCUCACAUUCUAAAAACACCCUCACAAGUCAAUCGUCUCUACUACAAUUUGUAAAACAAGAAAGGAUUAAAAAAAAAUGUGUUGCACAGGUAGAAAGAACUUGCAGAAAAGUAUAAUAUUCAAAAAGGACCAAAAAAAAAAUAUGUGACCUUCAAAAUACUUGUUCCACCUUUGGUCUAGUGAGAAAAUCCAUAUAAACAGUAGUAAGCAGAAAUUCAAAGCUUAAGCAAAUAUUAACCUAAAAGGUCAUAUCAUUGCUUAAACUUGAUUUGUACAAUCUUGUAUAUAUGCAAAGAAAGGUGGAAAUGAACAUUGUGGUUGAUGGAGUAUUAUAUAUUCACUAUAAGAGACCUUCCACAUUUCUAACUGUUCAAUUCUUCCUCAUUCUUAAAAUUAUUAUAUUGACUUUUAAAUUUUCUUUAAAUACAUAAAUAUUUAAAUGGAGAAGAAAACUCANNNNNNNNNNNNNNNNNNNNNNNNNNNNNNNNNNNNNNNNNNNNNNNNNNNNNNNNNNNNNNNNNNNNNNNNNNNNNNNNNNNNNNNNNNNNNNNNNNNNNNNNNNNNNNNNNNNNNNNNNNNNNNNNNNNNNNNNNNNNNNNNNNNNNNNNNNNNNNNNNNNNNNNNNNNNNNNNNNNNNNNNNNNNNNNNNNNNNNNNNNNNNNNNNNNNNNNNNNNNNNNNNNNNNNNNNNNNNNNNNNNNNNNNNNNNNNNNNNNNNNNNNNNNNNNNNNNNNNNNNNNNNNNNNNNNNNNNNNNNNNNNNNNNNNNNNNNNNNNNNNNNNNNNNNNNNNNNNNNNNNNNNNNNNNNNNNNNNNNNNNNNNNNNNNNNNNNNNNNNNNNNNNNNNNNNNNNNNNNNNNNNNNNNNNNNNNNNNNNNNNNNNNNNNNNNNNNNNNNNNNNNNNNNNNNNNNNNNNNNNNNNNNNNNNNNNNNNNNNNNNNNNNNNNNNNNNNNNNNNNNNNNNNNNNNNNNNNNNNNNNNNNNNNNNNNNNNNNNNNNNNNNNNNNNNNNNNNNNNNNNNNNNNNNNNNNNNNNNNNNNNNNNNNNNNNNNNNNNNNNNNNNNNNNNNNNNNNNNNNNNNNNNNNNNNNNNNNNNNNNNNNNNNNNNNNNNNNNNNNNNNNNNNNNNNNNNNNNNNNNNNNNNNNNNNNNNNNNNNNNNNNNNNNNNNNNNNNNNNNNNNNNNNNNNNNNNNNNNNNNNNNNNNNNNNNNNNNNNNNNNNNNNNNNNNNNNNNNNNNNNNNNNNNNNNNNNNNNNNNNNNNNNNNNNNNNNNNNNNNNNNNNNNNNNNNNNNNNNNNNNNNNNNNNNNNNNNNNNNNNNNNNNNNNNNNNNNNNNNNNNNNNNNNNNNNNNNNNNNNNNNNNNNNNNNNNNNNNNNNNNNNNNNNNNNNNNNNNNNNNNNNNNNNNNNNNNNNNNNNNNNNNNNNNNNNNNNNNNNNNNNNNNNNNNNNNNNNNNNNAAUAUAUUGAUAUAGGCGCGUAAUUUCGCCUAUCAUCAGUGAGGUAGGCUGAAAUGCAUGGGUUCAUUUGUAUGAACAAUACUAACUGUAUAAAAUGAGUAUGACUGAAUAAGAGUACAUGCAUGAAUACAUAGACUGUAACUGAGAUCGUGUAAAUACUGAGUACUGAGUCUGAAUACUAAUAACUGUUAUCUGAUUUUACUAAUACUGUAUUACUAAUUAUCUGAAUGACUAUAUCUUAUAUUCCUAUAUUUUGUGGAACUAUACUGAGUUUCAUACUAAGCCGAGUAACUAUAUCUGAUAGUCCUAAAUCUGUAGAACUGAACUAAGUUCUAUUCCAAGAAUGAGACUGAAACUGAGACUGUAGGAGGUAAUCAUCUAACUGACAUGCCCCUCUCUAAUCUGAUUGGGGUCUAACCUAUAACCCCAGUUGAAAGGGCUUCAAUACCAUUCCACGGGUAAGGACAAGAUGUGAGUUAACCCUGUCUGAUAGAAAGCUUUUUCAUCAACCCUCAUUGGCAGGAUAACUCAAAUGAGAUAUAUCAACCUUCAUGUUAUCUGGAAGGAAGAUAUCUCAACCUACGUUGGCUACAUAGUUCUAUAAUGCAGGGAUUGCUACUAAGGGUCAAACCCUCUACUGGCAGGAAUGAUUCCAUCCCUGGGCUCGCUCGGUGCUAAAUCCUACUCCCAACUGAAUAGACACCACACUGAUUUCUAGUCUGUACUAGGCUAUACUGAACUAUUAUUGAUAAUACUAUUUAACUGAACUAAACUUGAUUCACUGAGUUCCGUUGACUGAUGAAAUACUACUGAAUUCUAUUAGCUAACUGAGUUUAAUGAGGUCUGGGCUUAGUAUUGAACUAGACCGGACUAAUACUGAGUCUACUAAGUUUUUCCUAAGUUUUAUCACUGAUUGAGAGUACUACUUAUCAUUACAUAACUGUUACCGUUCUAUGACUAACCAUGGCUCUAGGUAAACAGAUAAAUUAUCGGGUAUAAGUACCCCCAGGACUCGAUAGCAUAAAUUAAGAGACAUGGCACAAACUUGAAAUAUGUAAACUAAGUACUUGAUCAUCAUUCAUUCAUUGGGGAAUUUUAACAAACACUUGUAUGGAAUGAACUUGAAUACAUGCUAAUACGAUUUAAUUCCACUAUUCAACUCACAUGAUUAAUUCAUCAAUCACUUGAAAAGCAUAAGAUAGGCACAUAAUACUAAUCAACAUGUGAGCACACAAUUCCACAUAUCAAAUUCACAAUUUGAAGCCUUUAACAUGAUCUCACAUGAUAACACAUAUAAUUUAUUAACCCCACAUGAAAUUUAUCAUAAAACAUGGAUUUGAAACCCAAUUAAUUAUUAUAAACAUGAAUAUUAUCAAACCCAACAUGGAAUUCAUGAAUUUCAUAUACUUGAUGUUUAAAAAUAGUUUCUUGGACUCCAAUGGUGGAAGGGACCCUUUGAUGAACACUUCACAUAUCUUAGUGCCUGAAUUCUGAAGGAUUGAUGGUGAGUUCUUAAGUUCUUGAUUUGAAAUUGAAUCUCCUAGGAUUCUUGUUCUUAAGUAUUUUGAGGAAUAAUGAGUGUAAUUGCUCCCUAAAGGGUUAAAUUUUGUUUUUGGAGGGAUGAAGGUCGUGGAAAAAGACCCAAUUACCCCCAAUGACGUGGUCUUUUAAUGACUGAAAAAUUGUGUUACUGACGCAUAGUCCAACACAUCACAUCAUUGGCAUCAAUGCGAUAGACAAUGCACCACGUCGAAUCCAUGUCAGUUCACUAAAAUUUGCACUGGAGCUGGGGGAAAAAUCAUCCAUUGACAUGAUGGUCGAUGCGAAGCGUCGAGAUCGCAUUGACCCAUUAUUUUAGGCACUCAAAAAUGGUCUAAACGAUUUUUGAAAAAUCUGAAACUCAUCCAGGAACACCUAUUGACCUUCUUGAUCAUUAAUUAACUUGAAUAUCAAUAUUUAAUGGAUAUAAAGGUCUUGAAAUAAGAGUGCCAACUUUUGAAGUCGAAAAUGGCACUAAGUCUGAAUACUUAGCUAAAAUAUUCUAAGUCUGGGACCCCUUAACAAGCCUAAAGGACUGAUUUAAGCUAAGAAUUUUGUAGGUCUUACAAUAUCUCUCCCUUGGGAAAAUUUGUCCUCGAAUGAGACUGCUGAGACUGAGAAUACAAAGCUAUUGGACUUAGACAAUGGGCUUGCACAAUUGAAGCAUGGUCUCAUGACUGAUAUCACUAAUACACUAAAUUAUCAUACUAAACAUGCAUAUCUGAUGCAUGAGUACAUAGCUGAACAUGAUUCAUGAAUGCAUGACUAGGUUUAUUGAUAAGCUGAGUUUCUCAUACUAGACAUGCAUAUCUGAUGCAUGAAUACAUGAAUUAAAUGACUCUUAAACAUAUGACUUUACAUGAAAUGGUAAUUGAUACCAAGUUUGUAACUAAAACAUCUAAACAUGAAACUGAAUAAGUUUAAGAAAAACUAUUACCUUGAGCUGAGUCCGAAUUAGGGGAGAAGAGGUGAGGAUAUUUGGUCUGCAUAUCUAAUUUGGCUUCCCAAGUAGCUCCCUCAGCGGACUGAUUCUGCCUAAGGUCUUUGACUAGAGGGACUUCUUUGUUCCUCAGUCUGCGAAUUUGAUAGUCAAGGAUUUCGACUGGAAUCUCUUCAUAAGAGAGACUGUUUUGAAAAUCUAUGCCCUUUAUAGGGAUUAUGACUGCUGGGUUACCUAUGCAUUUCUUUAUCUUGGAGAUGUGGAACACUGGAUGCACUGAAGAUAGAUCUGAAGGCAACUCAAGCUUGUAAGCUACCUUUUUGAAAUGGUUGUGAAUUCGGUAAGGACCGAUAUAUCGAGGAUUGAGCUUCCCCUUCUUGCCAAACUGUUUCACUCCUUUCAUAGGAGAUAUUUUCAGAUACACAAAAUCUCCAAUCUCAAACUCGAGAUCCCUUUUGCGCAUGUGUGCAUACUAUUUUUGUCGACUUUGAGCUGUCUUAAGCCUUUUCCUGCUCGACUAAACUUUCUCUAAGGUAUCAAAUACUAAGUCAGGUACUAUGACUGUAGCCUCUGCCACUUCAAACCAACCAAUGGGAGGUCUACAUCUUCUCCCAUAAAAGGCCUCAAAUAGAGCCAUCUGAAUUCUAGAGUGAUAGUUGUUGUAUGCAAACUCAAUCAAAGGAAAGUGGUCAUCCCAACUACCCUUAAAUUCUAUCGCACACGCUUGCAGCAUAUCUUCUAAAGUCUGAAUGGUCCUUUCUGCUUGACCAUCCAUCCGAGGAAGAAAGGCUGUACUGAGGUGAACUCGGGUAUCAAGACCCUUUUGGAAUACCUUCCAGAACUAAGAGGUAAACUGGGUACCUCAGUCUGAGAUAAUAGACAAUGGAAUACCAUACAAUCUAACAAACUCCCUGAUAUAGAGUUUGGCAUAAUCCUUGGCUAAAUAUGAGGUAUGUACUAAAAGAAAAUGAGUAGAUUUGGUCAUCCUAUCUACGAUGACCCAAACUGGAUCAUGUUGAUGAUGAGUACGAGGCAAACCCAUUGCAAAGUCCAUGUUAACAUAUUCCCAUUUCUAGGUGGGAAUAUUGAACUCCUGUAUGGACCCACUAGGCUUCUAAUGCUCAAUCUUAACCUACUGACAUGUUGAGCACUUAGCCACAAACUCUGCAAUAUCUUUUUUCAUCCCACUCCACCAAUAGAUCAUUCGCAGAUCGCGAUACAUCUUUGUGGCCCCUAGAUGAAUCGAGUAGCACGAACCAUACAUUUCUACCAGAAUUCACUACCUCAAGUCAUCUACGCCUAGAAACAUAGCCGACCCUAGCAACGCAGCACACUAUCUCCCCUUUAGGAGAAAACCUCUACUCUCUGUUCUCUAACUGAUUUAUUCAACUUGACUAGACUGGGAUCCCUAUCCCAUUUUUCCUUUACUUCGGAAACUAGGGAUUAUUAUGAGCUACUCUGCACCCAUACAAUACUUUUUGUAGAAUUGACUAAGUGAACACCUAGUUGGGCUAGUUGAUGAACUUACUGAGUUAACUUCUUCUUACUGUCCUCAACAUGGGAAACACUACCCAUAGACAUUCUACCCAUAGACUUACAAUACACUCAUGUCAUUGUCUUUUAACAACUCCAACCACUUUUUUCUGACGAAGGUUGAGGUCUUUCUGAGAGAACACCUACUGCAGGCUCUUGUGAUCCAUGAACACAUCAACGUGCACUCCAUAUAAGUAGUGUAUCCAAAUCUUUAAGAAAAAAACUACUGCUACUAACUCAAGGUCAUGAGUAGGAUAAUUCUUCUCAUGGGACUUAAAAUGUCUAGAGGUGUAGUCUAUGACCUUACCUCUCUGCAUCAAACUGCACCCCAAAUCAACUUUUAAGGCAUCACAAUAUACAACAAAGCCGUCUGAACCAUUUGGUAGGGUCAAAACUGAAGCUGUAGUGAGUCGAGUCUUUAACUCCUGAAAACUCUUUGGCACCCUGAAGUUGGUCAAACAAGUCAUCGAUCCUGGGAAGUGGAUACUUGUUCUUGAUCAUGACUUUAUUUAGCUAACGGUAGUCUAUGCACAUUCUAAGAGAACCAUCUUUCUUACGUAUGAAUAACACUGGUGCGCCCCACGGGGAUACGCUAUGCCUGAUGAAUCCCUUAUCUAGGAGAUCUUUUAACUGCACUUUCAAUUUCUGAGUUUUCCUAGAGCCAUUCUGUAUAGUAGGAUAGAUAUGGGCUGAGUAUCUGGGAGAAGAUCGAUUCCAAAAUUAAUUUCCCUUUUAGAAGGAACUUCGGGAAGAUCUUCGGGAAAUACAUCUGGGAAUUCUUAAGCUAUUGACACUGAUUCAAAAGUAAGGGUUUCUGAACUAGAUUCCUGGACUCGAAAGAGAUGGUAGAAACGUCCCUUAAAUAUCAUUUUUCUAUCCCAAAGGUAAGAAAUAAGUUGACCCCUAUGUGCUGAAGUACUACCCCUCCACUCUAGGAUGGGUUUAUUCAAGAACUGAAAUUGGACAAUUCUAUUUCUGUAGUCGACUAAGGUAUAGCAGGAAUUAAGCCAAUCCAUGUCGAGAAUAACAUCAAAAUCAGUCAUCUCUACUUUGACUAAGUCUGCUAAAGUGACUUUUAGAGAUAUCAUAACCGGACAAUUCCUGUACACCCGGCUGGCUAUGAUGGAUUUACCCAUUGGGGUAGAGAGCGAGAAAGAGUUUGCUAAAAUUUUAGUACUGACUCCAAAAUCAACUGCUAUAUAUGGAGUAACAAAGGACAAUAAAUCUCCUGUAUCUAGCAAAGCAUAAACAUGAAAAUAAUAAACUUGUAACGUACCAGUGACCACAUCAGAAGAACUUUGCUGAUCCUGUUGAGAGUAGAGAGAAUAGAUUCUGUUUGGGUGUUACUCACUGGUGGCACUGAAAGAGGUACCCUGCUGAUUUGGGCAACCAGACUGAGAUGGGGGAUGGGUAUACUAACUCAGCGAACCCUCCUGAGGACACUGUUUAAUUCUGUGGCCUAGCUUUCAACAUUUGAAACACAUAUCGCUACCAUACUUCUAACAAAGGAGAUAGGUUUAGGCACUGUUAACACUACCAUGGGGCUUAGGGCAUGAUGACCUAUCUCUAUUGCCAUCUCUAAAUUUUGACACUGGAGAACUGGCCGAGGAUAGAGCUAAAACUGAGGAUUUUGAGCAAAAAUCAGAAUCAUUCCCACCCUCUGACUUAGGUUGAGUAAAAUUGAAACUACCUAUUCUCGCUCUCAUGUUCUCCCUUUUUUUGUUUUUUUUAUUCUUGGCCUCUUAUAUCUAUUGGUCAUGGACCAUGAGCCUGGCUAUGUCCACCUCUUUUAUCAAAAUUGUAGUCCUACACUCUUUGACCAUGCUUCUAGACACCCCUAACAUAAACUUACUCAUAUUAGAUUUGUUAUCUACUUCAACAUGCAGGGCAUAUCUGGCUAACUGAUUAAACUUGAGAGAAUACACCUGUACUGUCAUAUUGCCCUGCUUCAAAUUAAUGAACUCCAAAACCUUCGCUUCCCUCAACUCUAGCGGGAAGAACUUAUCAAGAAAAACAACUACAAACUUCUCUCAUUCUAUGGGCCUUACAUUUGCAACCCUCUCUGCUUUCCAUUGUUUGAACCCCGAGUGAGCCACAUCCUAUAACUAAUAUCUGCCAACUCAGUGCUCUCAAAAACAAUCACCCCCAUAAUAUUGGUAACCUUCUGCACCUGAUCAAGAAAUUCCUAAAGGUCCUCAUCUGACUUAUACCCAAUAAAUAUGGAGGGUUCAUUCGGGUAAAGUCCCAAAUCCUGGCAGCUACAGUAUUGACCACUAGGUUGGCCAAAACUAUAUUUGGACAUUUAUUUUGGGCUUCCACAGAAUGAGUUAGGGUGGUGAAGGAUGCUCUGAACUCCACAUGGAAGAAAUGCUUACCCAAAGGAUCUGGGUGAAUGGGUUGAGGGGCUGACUGGUCUCCUAUUCCUCUUUUCUGAGUCCUCUUUAGAGGCAUAUUCUGUAAAAAAAGAGAAACUAGGAUUAGAAAGAGAGUGUAACUAGAGUUCAUGCUCACUCGUACAAUAUAAAUACUGAAAGAAGAGAAAUUAUUCCUAAAUCAUCUUGUAUCCUCCUGUCUAUAUGUAUGGCGCGCUACACUCCCAUGUAUAAGACUCUACUAGAUGUGGCUUUUAAACUUUCUAGGACUCUGUUUAACCUUAGGCUCUGAUACUAAGUUUGUAACACCCCGAUUCUGUACCCCAAACGCUACACGGUGCUUAUAAUCCCAAAGGACCACAAGCCAACCCAUGACCGGUACCUACUGUAAUAACUUUGCAAUAAAUACUUUAAUGAUUGCGAAAAUAGGCGGAAACAUAUGCCAUAAGGUUCAAAUCUAUAAAUAAAUUUGAAUUUGAUAUCAAAAUACAAAAACUGAAUAUAAGUACUAUAAAACUGAAUAACUAUCUGGAAAUACUCUAGUCUGGAAAGCCUUUAAAUUGUCUAAACAGUGGAUUUUAUGGGACAAGUCCCUAACUAACUCUGACUACUGAAAAUAAUAAUAAUAAUAAAAAGUAUGUCCUCGAACUAUGAGGACUCACCACUACUUUGAAAGCUGAAAAUUUAAACUGCUAAGGGUGCUCUGAAGCCCGUGCAUCUGAACCUUUGAUAUAAGACAUCUUAGACCAAAAAGAAUGCAUCAGUACUUUGAAUAUAAUGGUAUGCUUAGUGAGGUAGGCUGAAAUACAUGGGUUCAUAUGCAUGAACAAUACUAACUGAAUACAUGAGUAUGACUGAAUAAGAGUACAUACAUGAAUACAUAGACUAUAACUGAGAUCAUGAAAAUACUAAGUAUUGAAUCUAAAUACUAAUAACUAAUAUUUGAGUUUAUUGAUACUAUAUUACUGAUUAUUUAAAUGACUGUAUCUGAUAGUCCCAAAUUUUGUGAAACUAUACUAAGUUUCAUACUGAACUGAGUAACUAUAUCUGAUAGUCCUGAAUCUGUAGAACUGAACUGAGUUCUAUUCCAAGACUAAGACUGAAACUGAGAUUAUGGGAAGUAAUCAUCUAUCUGACAUACACCUCUCUAAUAUUAUUGGGGUCCAACCUGUAACCCCACUUAGAAGGGUAUUAAUACCGUACUAUGGGUAAGGAAAAGAUGUGAGUUAACCCUUUCUGACAGGAAGCUCUUUCGUCAACCCUCACUGGCAGGAUAACUCAAAUGAGAUAUAUCAACCCUCAUGAUAUCUGGCAGGAAAAUGUCUCAACCUUCACUGGCUAUGUAUUUUUGUAACUCAGGGAUUGCUACUAAGGGUCAAACCCUUUAUUAGCAGGAGUGGCCCCAUCCUUGGGCUCGCUCAGUGCUGAAUCCUACUCCUAGCUGAAUAGACAUUGAACUAGUUUCUAGUCUGUACUAGGCCAGAAUGAACUAUUACAAAUAAUACUAUUUAACUAAACUGAACUGGAUUUACUGAGUUCCGUUGACUGAUGGAAUACUACUAAAUUCUGUUAGCUGAUAGAGUUUACUGAGGUCUGGGAUGAGUACUGAAGUAGGCUGGACUAAUACUGAGUCUACUGAGUUUUUCCUGAGUUCUAUGACUGAUUAAGAGUACUACUGAUCAUGAUGUGAUAGGUACCAUUCUAUGACUCACCAUGGCUCUAGGUAAAUAGAUAAAUUGAUGAGUACAAGUACCACCAGGACUCGAUAGCAUAAAUUAAGAGACAUGGCAUAAACUUGAAACAUGUAAACUAAGUACUUGAUCAUCACUCAUUCAUUGGGGCAUUUUAACAAACACUUGUAUGGCAUGAACUUGAUUACAUGCUAACAUGAUGUAAUUCCACUAUUCAACUCACAUGCUUAAUUUAUCAAUCACUUGAAAAUGAUAAGAUAGGCACAUAAUACUAAUCAACAUGUGAGCACACAAUUCCAAAUAUCAAAUUCACAAUUUGAAGGCUUUAUCAUGAUCUCACAUGAUAACACAUAUAAUUUAAUUAACCCCACAUGAAAUUUAUCAUGAAACAUGGAUUUGAAACCCAAUUAAUCAUUAUAAACAUGAACAUUAUCAACCCCAACAUGGAAUUCAUAAAUUUCAUAUACUUGAUGUAUAAUAAUAGUUUCUUGGACUCCAAGGGUGGAAGGGAUCCUUGGAUGAAUACUUCACAUACCUUAGUGCCAGAAUUCCGAGGGAUUGAUGGUGAGUUCUUGAGUUCUUGAUUUGAAAUUGAAUCUCCUAGGGUUUUUGAGUAUUUUGAGGAACAACGAGUAUAAUAACUCUCCAAAGGAUUUAAUUUCAUGUUUUGGGGGCUAAAAGUAAUCGAAAAAAGACCUAAUUACCCCCAAGGAUGUGGUCUUUUACUGAUUAAAAAACUGUGUUACCAAUGUGUAACUCGACGCGUUGCGUCGUUGGCAUCAAUAAAAUAGCCAACACACCACGUUGAGUCCAUGUCGGUUCACUAGAAUUUGCAUUAGAGCUAGGGGAAAAUCAUCCAUCGAUGUGAUGGUCGACACGAUGCAUUGAGAUCGCAUCAAUCUUCUAUUUUGGGCACUCAAACAUAGUUUAAACGAGGUCUAAAUAGUCUGAAACUCAUCCAAGAAAACCUAUUGUCCUUCCUGAUCAUGAAUUAAUUUAAAUAUCAAUAUUUAAUGGAUGUAAAGGUCUUGAAAUAAGAUUUCCAACUUUCGAAGCCUAAAAUGGAACUAAGUCUGAAUACUUAGCUAAAAUAUUCGAUUUCCAACUUUCGAAGCCUAAAAUGGAACUAAGUCUGAAUACUUAGCUAAAAUAUUCGAUUUCCAACUUUCGAAGCCUAAAAUGGAACUAAGUCUGAAUACUUAGCUAAAAUAUUCUAAGUCUGGGACCCCUUGACAAGCCUAAAGGACUAAUUUAAGCUAAGAAUUUUUUUGGGUCUUUCAUUACAUGAUGCAAGUUAGUUUUGGUUGUUAAAGUAUGUUGAUUAUGUUGAAUGACUGCUUUUGGGACAACUAUGUUCAUAUUUAUGACUCUUGUGCGAUGUAGGCUUAAUUAUGAAUUCGUGAUAUUGUUUGGUCUAUAAUCUAUAGUGAUCCUACUUGAUUUGAGCAUGUGCUAUGUGUGAGUGAGGACUUUUGUUGUAUUCCUUGUUACAUAUUGAUGUCUAGAACUUGCCUGGUGUGUGUGCAAAAAAAAUAAAGAAUGUUAGGCUUAGUAGAUGAUAUAGUUAUUUCUUUGAUAGCCAUGUUUCAUACCCCUUUCUAUAUAACCUUGUGCAUGGUCUUAGUUAGAUCCAUUGAGCCUUCAGCCUAUUCUUUGGUAGCCUCAUAUAAAGCAUGUUCCUCUUCUUUGUUUAAUUGUGAUUUGAUCUAAUGCUCCUAAAAGAUUUAGUUGAAAAAUUAAUAUGGUUAAGGAGUGUAAAAUGUAAGGAGGAAAGAGGUAAAAAGUNNNNNNNNNNNNNNNNNNNNNNNNNNNNNNNNNNNNNNNNNNNNNNNNNNNNNNNNNNNNNNNNNNNNNNNNNNNNNNNNNNNNNNNCUAUGGGUAAGGAAAAGAUGUGAGUUAACCCUUUCUGACAGGAAGCUCUUUCGUCAACCCUCACUGGCAGGAUAACUCAAAUGAGAUAUAUCAACCCUCAUGAUAUCUGGCAGGAAAAUGUCUCAACCUUCACUGGCUAUGUAUUUUUGUAACUCAGGGAUUGCUACUAAGGGUCAAACCCUUUAUUAGCAGGAGUGGCCCCAUCCUUGGGCUCGCUCAGUGCUGAAUCCUACUCCUAACUGAAUAGACACUGAACUGGUUUCUAGUCUGUACUAGGCCAGAAUGAACUAUUACAAAUAAUACUAUUUAACUAAACUGAACUGGAUUUAUUGAGUUCCGUUGACUGAUGGAAUACUACUAAAUUCUGUUAGUUGAUAGAGUUUACUGAGGUCUGGGAUGAGUACUGAAGUAGGCUGGACUAAUACUGAGUCUACUGAGUUUUUCCUGAGUUCUAUGACUGAUUAAGAGUACUACUGAUCAUGAUGUGAUAGGUACCAUUCUAUGACUCACCAUGGCUCUAGGUAAAUAGAUAAAUUGAUGAGUACAAGUACCACCAGGACUCGAUAGCAUAAAUUAAGAGACAUGGCAUAAACUUGAAACAUGUAAACUAAGUACUUGAUCAUCACUCAUUCAUUGGGGCAUUUUAACAAACACUUGUAUGGCAUGAACUUGAUUACAUGCUAACAUGAUGUAAUUCCACUAUUCAACUCACAUGCUUAAUUUAUCAAUCACUUGAAAAUGAUAAGAUAGGCACAUAAUACUAAUCAACAUGUGAGCACACAAUUCCAAAUAUCAAAUUCACAAUUUGAAGGCUUUAUCAUGAUCUCACAUGAUAACACAUAUAAUUUAAUUAACCCCACAUGAAAUUUAUCAUGAAACAUGGAUUUGAAACCCAAUUAAUCAUUAUAAACAUGAACAUUAUCAACCCCAACAUGGAAUUCAUAAAUUUCAUAUACUUGAUGUAUAAUAAUAGUUUCUUGGACUCCAAGGGUGGAAGGGAUCCUUGGAUGAAUACUUCAAAUACCUUAGUGCUAGAGGGAUUGAUAGUGAGUUCUUGAGUUCUUGAUUUGAAAUUGAAUCUCCUAGGGCUCUUGAGUAUUUUGAGGAAUAACGAGUAUAAUAACUCUCCAAAGGAUUUAAUUUUAUAUUUUGGGGGCUGAAAGUCAUCAAAAAAAGACCUAAUUACCCCCAAGGAUGUGGUCUUUUACUGAUUGAAUAAUUGUGUUACCAAUGCAUAGCUCGACGCGUUACGUCGUUGGCAUCAAUGAAAUAGCCAACACACCACGUUGAGUCUAUGUCGGUUCACUAGAAUUUGCAUUAGAGCUAAGGGAAAAUCAUCCAUCGAUGCGAUGGUCGACACGACGCAUUGAGAUCGCAUCAAUCUACUAUUUUGGGCACUCAAACAUAGUUUAAACGAGGUUUAAAUAAUCUGAAACUCAUCUAUGAAAACCUAUUGACCUUCCUGACCAUGAAUUAAUUUAAAUAUCAAUAUUUAAUGGAUGUAAAGGUCUUGAAAUAAGAUUUCCAACUUUCGAAGCCUAAAAUGGAACUAAGUCUGAAUACUUAGCUAAAAUAUACUAAGUCUGGGACCCCUUGACAAGCCUAAAGGACUAAUUUAAGCUAAGAAUUUUUUUGGGUCUUUCAUUACAUGAUGCAAGUUAGUUUCGGUUGUUAAAGUAUGUUGAUUAUGUUGAAUGACUACUUUUGGGACAACUAUGUUCAUAUUUAUGACUCUUGUGCGAUGUAGGCUUAAUUAUGAAUUCAUGAUAUUGUUUGGUCUAUAAUCUAUAGUGAUCCUACUUGAUUUGAGCAUGUGCUAUGUGUGAGUGAGGACUUUUGUUGUAUUCCUUGUUACAUAUUGAUGUCUAGAACUUGCCUGGUGUGUGUGCAAAAAAAAAAUAAAGAAUGUUCGGCUUAGUAGAUGAUAUAGUUAUUUCUUUGAUAGCCAUGUUUCAUACCCCUUUCUAUAUACCCUUGUGCAUGGUCUUAGUAAGAUCCAUUGAGCCGUCAGCCUAUUCUUUGGUAGCCUCAUAUAAAAUAUGUUCCUCUUCUUUGUUUAAUUGUGAUUUGAUCUAAUGCUCCUAAAAGAUUUAGUUGAAAAAUUAAUAUGGUUAAGGAGUGUAAAAUGUAAGGAGGAAAGAGGUAAAAAGUGAAGCCCCAAAAUAGUAGCUAUUAGUGUUGAAAAAGUUGAUGUGUUAUAGUUGGCAGUGGUGCAAUGAAAAGAAACAAAAUAGUGAAAAAAAGAAUAAUGUGUUGAUAGAAAAUACUCCCUAUUUAAUAUAUGUGAACUAUCUUAAAGAGAUGGGGAAAAACAAAAUAGAUGUUUGGAGGUAGAGGUGAUGAAAGUUUGCAUGUUAAAAAAGAGUUCAAUGUCUAAUAUGUGUAUUAAAGCGCAUAGGGAAGUAGUCACUAUUACUGGCCAGAAUAGUUUCUACCCAUCCCUUAGCUGACAUUACAACCCUUAAAGUCCUAUUUGAUUUUGAGCCUUAACAUUCUAAUAUUAAUGGAGUACUACACUAAGGGCAAGCCUAUGGUUCAUCUUGUGUGACUUGAGAAUUUUUUGUAAGAGUGAUCGUAAUUUGAUUCUUAUGCUCAUUGUGAUAAAUUACAUCUCUGUGAGUGAAUAUGGGUAACUCUCUUGUGGUGAGGACGCAUGUUUGAUGAUAGUUGGGUGACAUAUAUGGUCUCUUUGACUAAUUAAUAUGCAUGAGUUUGCCAACUUGGUGGAGUCAAAUUUUGAGGAUAGGAUGUUUUAAAGUAGUGCUCAUGAGCUUUCAAAAGUAUAUAACCUGCAUGGUGUUAAGUACUAUCUGUGUAGUCAUUGUAGUGCUAGCUUAAAUCUUGCUUGUAAUAAUUUAAUAUGGAGUCUUCCUUAGAUAUGGUGAUUAAUGUAAAGAGUUGUUUGACGACGAAUAAUACUUUAAGUGCGGAGUGAUGAUCUUAGGUGGAUUUACGCACCUAAGUGUUGUUAUCUACUCUUAUUUGGCUUAGUUUUUAGUACUUCUUGUAUGUGAAAUGAGUUAAUAUUCAUAUAUUUAAUCAUCUAAAUGUUGAUACAAAUGUUUAUAAUGCUUAAUGUGUUUUCAAAACAAGUACGGAAUCAAAACAAUCACUUAGAGUUUAGACGAGGAAACUAGUAUUCUUAACUUGAGCUAUAUGUUGUUCUCAUUUCUCUUGUUUAAUUUUAUUGUGUUGUAAGCUCUAAUUACCGGUGUUUGAUGAUUUAGGAAUACUUGUGAGAUGUUAAACUCAAUGAUGGGAUGAUAAACAAGCUGAUUUUGAAAAGGAAAAAGGCCCAUGAAGUGAGGAACUCAAAGCAAAAUAGAAGAAGAAAACGGUGACCAAGUCUGGAAAAUUGGAGCACAAGGGCACGACAUGUCCUCUAGCCUCUGAUAUGAGGUAGUGCCACGCCCUUAUUGCAUCAAUUCCUUAGCGUAGCACUCCCACGUGUUCCAAACGGGGACUUGUCUCCCAUUAUAAAUAGGACACUCCUAACUUGUUGUACACACCUUGGACGACCUUUCGAUUUGUAAUACACUUGAGGAGGCUUCUCAUAGGGUCUAAAUCCAUGAAUAGCUAAACACCCCCAUCUUAGGUUGAGGCCAAGAACAUGAAUACUUAAGCUUAUAUUUGAGUUUGGUUGUGUUUAUUAUCAUUAUUGAUUGUUCAUAUAUCCUUGUAUCUACUAUUCUACGGAUUCACAACCCUUAGAAUAAAAAGAUGUUUCUAUUGUGAUCUCGGAAGGAGGAACAAUAGAUUGGAACAUGGGAUGUAUGGAGUAGGAUCUUAAAUACUCAAGGGAUGGAGUUAAGAUUCGCAAUUAGAAUAGGAAUAUACCUAUUUAUCCCUAUUUGGUUCAUAUACAGGAUGAAAUAUAAAUGCGUUUAACUUAGUUCUCGCAUCCCUGAUCAACUAUGUAGUUGUAGGGCUAAAUGCUAGACGAUUAGAGGCUCGAAAGACCAUAGUCAUGUUUUCAAUUCCGUGAAUCAACAACUAAGAUAAUUAACUAAAUCAACGAGAUUAUAUCACUAAGUAGGAUUGUUCGUAGUGCCUUAACCCUGUGUUUCUCCCUAUUAUUGCCUCCAACACUUUAUUAUUAUCGUAUUUCUUAUGUUUACUUUUAAUUUCCAACUCUCAAACAUUUUAGGUUACUUUUGUACUUGUUAAAUCUUCGUAGUGAUGCUAGAAUUAGUUAAUUGCCGAGCACAAGUCCCUGUGGGAUCUAUACUUGGCUUUUAAAGGCCACUUUACUAUUUGGUUGACCACGUACACUUGCUUGUGUGCUAGGAUGCAACAAAUGAUGAGUUGACUGUGAUAAGUUUUUGUUCAACUGAGAUUGUAUAUUACAACUACUCCCCCAUCUCAUAUUAGUUGGUGAUUUUACUUAAAAUAUUUAUCCCAUAUUUGUUGGUUACCUUACUAAAUCAAGAAAGCAUUAACUAAAUUUUUCUCAUAUUAUCCUUGCAACUAAUUCUUUUUGAAAGUGUUCACACUUAUUUGUAAAGUUUGCAAAAGUGUUUUAAGAGGUAAAUUAGUAAACUUGCAUUCUUUUUAAUGAUUAAUUAAUUACCAUAUAAAAUUAAAUAUGUCCAAUUAAUAUGGGACGAAGGGAGUUGUAAAGUAUAAUAAAUGCAUUUGGAUUGGGCAUGAUUGGCAAAAUGUUCAACUGUUUAAGUCAUGGACAACCCCUUAAAGUUGUUUGGAAAAUUCGCUUAGAUACCUUAAUAGACCUAUUUUUCUAUUAGACACUCUAAUAUUAAGAAAUGUGUACCUAUUAAACACAAAAUGACCAUGAGUCCAAAAAAUAUAAUGCGUCAGACUCACACUAGUAUAAUAGCAAAACACUGAAUAAAAAUAUGACAUGUGGUGGACUCAAAUAAGUAUUAAAAAUAUAUUUCAAUCUUUUAAAAUAAAGAAAUAUAAUUAAAAAAAUCCUUAAUUUCUCGGCCCCCUUCCCCCAGUCCUUUUUCCACCAUGGAAAUCACUGCAACUGUGUCCACCAUUUAUUUCAUCCAUCCUUUUCUUUUUCUUCCCAGAUCCUCCCCUCUUGUCUUUCUUCUUCCUCUCUUUAAAAUACAACUAAUUUACGUGCCAAUGUGAUGCUCAGAUAAUAUUAAAAAUAAUAUGUUUAAUAAUUUUACAUAGGAAUAUCUUAGUUACACUUAAGUUUAUAUAAGGAAAAAAUCAAGUAAUUGUAAUUUUCUUUAUGUUUCAUAUUUUUCUUUAUUAUAUUCUUCAUCAUUUAAAAAUAUUACAUUGUUAAUAUUGAUUUUUUUAAUUACAAUUUUUAUUCUAUUCUUCACUUCUUUUCAAUUUAAAAUUUAUGAAUAGUGGUAUGUGCAUUAUCUAAUUAUUUCAUUAUUUCUCAAAUUAGUUAAAAUAGACCCCCCAUCCUCCCCCCUCCCCCCAAUUGUGAAAAGACUUUUAUGUUUCACAUUUUUUCUUAUUAUAUUAUUCAUAAUUACUUUACUUUUCUCUAAUUUAACUUUAUAUUAAUUUUUUUAUUUUUUGUUACACAAAAACAGUUGGGUUUUCUUCUCUCUUAUAUUAAUAUAGAAAUUUGGUUAGAAGAAAAUUCCAAAAUAAAUUUAUUUGUUAGAAAUGAUUAUGAUUCCAAUUCAAGUUAAACACUCCCACCUCUCUAUAAAUAUUAUUUUAUUUCAUAUUCAACUUCAAAAUCUUAUAUUUUAAAUUAAAUUAAAAAAAUUAUUAACUUGUCCUAGGAAAUUAAAAAAAAUACAAUUGCAUGUAAAAAUGUGGAAUAUAAAUUUUAAAGGAAAUAAAAUUAUGAAUUCAACAACAACAACAACAAAAAACCCAGCUUAUUCCUACAAAAUAGGGUCUGAGAUGGGUAAAAUAUAAGCAGUCCAUACUGCACCUCCGAAGAAGUUAAGAGGUUGUUUUCGAUAGACCCCCGACUCACGAUAAAGAACAGUAAACCAGGUAAUAAUAAAACAUGAAGCAGGAUAAAUGACAUAACGGGAAUAAGGAAUAGGAAAUAAUAAAAAUAGAAAUUAGAGAAAUACAAAAUAAGAGAAAUAAGAGCAAUUCGAAAUAAGAAAUAAGAAAUAGGACACCCGCCUAGUAGUAAUAUACAUUCAUAGACCAAAGACACCCACCACACCCAAACUCUCCUGAGUAGAGGCUCAUACCUAUGGACACAAUCCUAGGAUUACUAACGCGGCUACACAAGCGCUCUCCUAACUACUUGCUACAACCCACACACUCACAAUAUCCUUCUACCCUUAUCCGCGACUUCCACACCUUUCUAUCUAGGGUCAUGUCCUAAGUAAGUUGUAGCUGCUCCAUGUCAUGUCUAGUCACCUCCUUCUAGUAUUUUUUUAGCCUACCUCUACUCUUCCUGAAGCCAUCCAAAGCUAGUGUCUCACACCUACGAACUGGGGCCUGCUUGCCCCUCCUCACUAUAUGAAAAAAGAAUUUAGAUGUGUAACUAUGUAUAUCAUAUUUAAUAAUCAUAUAAGCUACAUCGUUGAAAAUUUAAUAUUUUAUUUUGUGAUUAAAUAUUUAUUUUUUUGCAAUUAAAAAAAUUAAGCUAUAAAAAUUACAACAUGAGAAAUUGUCAAUAUAAAAAAUUGAGUUGUCGCUUGAGUUUUAGUCAUCACCACUUUUCUUUUUUUACUUUAUUUUUAAAAAUAUCAUCGUAAUAAAAUUUUUGAACUAAAGGAUAUUAAAUAUUUGCAUUUGAAAAUAUUAAGAUUUUGAAAGCAUUUAAGAAAACAAUUAUUAUCUUAAAGCAUGAAAAUCUAACUAUUAGGACCCCAUAGUUUAAAAGUACUGAGUAAAUUCUAACUAUUUCAUAUAAUAAUAACGAUAAUCUAUAAAAAUAAAUAAUAGUAGAAGUCAUAAUAUUAGUACAUACGUUUAAUAAUUCUAAAGAAAAAUUAAGACAAACUUAAUAAUAUUGUAAUAAAAUAUUUGAAUUAAUGCAUGAAAAUAUUUGAAUUUGAAAAUAUUAAGCUUUUAGGAGAAAAAAUAAGGAUAAGGAAGAAUAACAAACAAAUAUUUUUUCUACAAAUUAAUAUGAUGUUUGAAUUUAAAUUUAAAAAACAAUCCAUUAGGUUAAAACUAGGAACCAAAGGUUGAAGAGUCCCCCCCCCAAAGAAAAAAAAUAACCUAUUACUAUUCCAUAAACUCUUAACAACAACAACAACAACAACAGUAACAGUAGUAGUACAUACUUAAUAUUAGUAGCAGGAGGUGGUAGUAGUAAUAAUAGUAACAAUAAUAACAAUAAUUUUAUUUCAAAUUCAACUUCAAAAUAUUAUUUUUUUAAUCUAAAUUCAAAAAAUUAUUAACUUUUCCUAAGAAAUUAAAAAAUAAUGCAUGAAAAAUUAUGAAUUCAUUUUAUGAAAAAAGAAUUUAGAUAUAUAACCGUGUACAUCAUAUCUAAUUAUAGUAUAAGCUACAUCAUUGAUUUUUUUUUUUUUAGUUUGGGAUUAAAUAUUUACCUUUUUCAAUUAAAAAUAUUAAGCUACAAAAAUUACAAACAUGAGAAACUAUCAAUAUAAAAAUUUGAGUUGUUGCAUGUGCUUUAGUCAUCACCACUUUUUUUUACUUUAUUUUUUAAAAAUAUUUACUAUUGUAUAUAAUGUUAUCCAUAUGUUUACCUUCUAUUUUAUUAAAUUUUAAAAAAUUCUCAUCUCAAAUAUAAAUAAAAAUAUAUAAGCUAUCAUACGUUAGGUUUUAUCUAGUAUUUAAAAUUAAUUAAAUCUAAUUUGCAUAAUUAGAUUAAAAAAAUCGUUGAAGAUAAAUUUUAUUUAAAAAUAAGUAGAGAAUAAUGAAGGUUUUAUCUACUACUACUACUGUUGCUGUUGUUGCUUCUUCUUCUUCUUCUACUACUACUACUACCACCACCACUACCACUGCUACCACUGCACUGCUACCACUGUUGCUGUCGCCGCCGCCACCAUCGCCGCUGUUGCACCUCUGUUGUUGUUGUUGUUGUUGCUGCUACUACUACUACUAUUAUUAUUAUUAUUAUUAUUAUUGUUACAACAACUACUACUACUUCUGUAAUCUUCAGUGACCUCAGUAACAAACAGUUUUGAGUUCGUCACCAUUCCUUUUUGACUUUCAACCGUCAAUUGACGUGAUAGUAUUCUCCGACAACAAUAAUUUCGAGUUUUUCAUCGUUCUUUUUUUACUUUCACAGGUAAAAAAAUUAGGCAUUUUUAGUUAUGAAAAAAAGAGGAAUUUGAGUUAAUUUCUCUUCUAGUAUGGGUUAACAAUUUUAGUAUUUCUUGCUUAAAUUUGAAAUGAGGACUCAAGAAAAUUCGAAUUUGUGGUAUUUCUUCUCUUCUCUUUCUUGAGUGAAAUAUGAUUUUUUGUUGUUACUGUAGUUCUUGUUGUCAACAUUAUUGUAAAAAUAAUGAGAGUUGAAUUUUAUUUUUUUCGGAGAUAUCUAUUGUGACCAAAUCUAACAAACACCUCUUGAUUUUGUUUGUAGUAUUUUUUGAAUUUGUUUUGCUAUUUGUAUUUGUACAAUGUUGGUGUUAUUGGUAAAUAUUGAUGUUCUUGGUGUGUGGCGUUGGUGGUGUUGAUUUGAUUUAUUUGUGAUUGAUGUUAAUCUUGGUAAAAAUGGUGUAUUGAAGAAUAGUGAUAUUGUUGUUGUUUUUAUUAAAUAAAUCUUGCUACUGGUUUAUUUUUUCAACAGAUGAACCAUUUGUUGCAAUAGAUGAACCGUUUGUCCCAAUAGAUGAACCAUUUGUUGCAAUAGAUUAUUCAUUUCCUGGAAGAAAUCAAAAUAUAAUUGAAAUUAUUUUUAUUUUUUCAAACAGAUCACUAUCUGUUGCAACAGAAAAAUGAUCUGUUGCAACAGAUCACUAAUCUGUUCCAACAGAUGACUCAUCUGUUGGAACUAUUAUUUUAAUAUGUUGUACUUGUUAGAUUUACUAAUAUCCUUCUUUUAAUAAUGCAUAAAUCAAUUGUAAUUUUUUUAAUUCUUCUCUUAUUUGUAGAUAAAUGACUCUGAUAAAAGAAAGUGAAUCAACUCCAAGAAAAAGAAGAAGUAAAGUAGCUAGGCUAUAUUCACCACUAGAUUAGCUUGUUGUACAAACAAUAUCUCAAUUAGAAGCAGAAGUUUAUUCUCAAUCAGCUCCAAAUAUAAAAAAAGAAGAAGGAAAAAGUGGAUGAGAAUGAAGAAUUUGGAGAUUUAAAUAAAGAUAUACAAGGAGACAGGAGAAGUGAGGAAGAUUAGAAAUAUGAAGAGAAAAGUGAUGAAAAUACAAAAAAAAUAGAUGUAGAUAAAGAAAGGGAUGGAGAAGAUGAUGAAGUAGAAAAAGAUGAUAAAAAUGAUGAAGGAGAAGAAGAAGAAGAAGAAGAAGAAGAAGAAGAAGAAGAAGAAGAAGAAGAACAAGAAGAAGAAGAAGAAGAAGAAGAUUAAAUCUUGCCAAAAAUGAAACUGGUAAUGUAUGUGUGUCAUAUUCACUUGCUUUUAUAGAGCAUUUAACAACUGGGACCAAUUUGAUAACUCCGGACACUUUAAUAUAUGAAAAUUCAAUUAAAAUGAUGCAAGUUAUAUAUGUUGUUGAUGUAGUAUCAAGAGCUUAGAGUCCUAGUCAAAUAAUUUGUCAUUUGUGAUGACUUUUAUUUUAUGUAACUGUGGAUUCUGACACCAUAAUAAUUUUUAGGCCAAACCCAUCAGCGACCCCCUAAACUUGGCACGAUCUUUCACUUUGGUACCUCAAGUGGACGUCGUUCACUUUUGACACCUCAAGUAGUCAUAAAGUGUGUCACUUUGGCACCUUUUGGCACAAACUUUGGUGAGUAAAUUACACGUGUUUCCAGCAUGGAUUAAGUGGCCAAUUAAUUUGUGCCAACUCAUUUUAAAGGCCACAUCAUUAUUUACACCCAUAAUUUUUUAAAAACAAAAAAAAGGAUCAAAAUACAUGGCUAAGUGUCCAAUAAAUUAAUGACACGUGAUAUUUUAAUUAAAUAGUUACAAAAAUGCCCACAUCUUCCACAUGUAAUUUGUGAUGGCUUGGAUUUAUGUUUAUUAUGACUUUUAUUUUAAUUGUUGAUUAGUUAUUUUGUUACGAAUUGUAUUUUAUACUUAGAUUUGAAAAAUGUUAGAUUAUUGCUAAAGAUGGAUUAUUAAGUUCAAAAAUUACAACAGAUGCAUUAUCUGUUGCAACAGAUCACUCAUGUAUUGUAAAUAAUCAAACAAAAUUAGACAUAUGGUUGCAACAAAGAUGACUAAUCUUUUGGAAAUUAUCAAACAUAUAUAUGCAUCUGUUGCAAAAGAUAACAAACCUAUUGCAACAAAUGACACAUCUGUUGAAAAUUAUCAAAUAAAUAUAUACAUAUAUUACAACAGAUGACUAACCUGUUGCAACAUAUGAUUCAUCUAUUAGAAAUUAUAAAACAGAUAUAGACAUCUAUUGUUAUUGAUGACUAACUUGUUGCAAUAAAUGACUCAUCCGUUUGAAAUUAUCAAACAAAUAUAUGCAUCUAUUGAAAUAGAUGACUAACCUACUACAAUAGAUAACACAUAUAUUGAAUAUUGUCAAAUAAAUUACAGUAAAAUUAGAAUGGAGUAUAGGUAACUCAAUCUUUAAUUAUUGAGUGUGGGUGUCUAUUUUUAGAUUAAGUAUUAAGGGAAUAGACUUCAUAUCCCCAAGUUUUGAGACUUACACUUUGGUCCAUCUAUAUAAAACCCUAAAACUAAAAAGAAGGGGAAAAAUCACGCUUCUUCUUCUUCUUCUUCUUCUUUCUUUUCUAUCUUCGCUUUUUUUCUUCCAUUACUACUUGUCGUAACAUUGUUGUUGUUGUUGUUGCUACCACAACUACUAAUAUUGGACCAUUUUUUUGAGCCAAUUUUGUUUGUAUAUUAGUGGGCAUUACUUAUUGGUGAUUUUGAUAAGUAUAAUUAAUGAUUUUUAGUUCAAUUUUGCAUCUGGUAUAUCUGUUGCUUUUUCAACAAUUUUCACUAGUGUAUCCAACAACUGCUAUAUAUGAAUACAAUAGAUGUUGGAUUAUUUCUAUUACAGUUAAAGCACUUUUAACAAAUAACUCAUCUGUUGCAACAUGUGAGUUAUCUAUUGUAACAAAUGACCAAGCUAUUGCAAUAGAUGACCUACUCGUUGGAUUUACGUUACAGUAGCUCAAUUCAACAAAUAAGUCAUAUGUUGUAGCAGAUGACCGACCUGUUGCAAUAAUUUUAAUUAAUUUCACAUUAAUUACAUGAUCAACUAAGUGUAUUCGUCCUAAAUAGAGUGCUCAAUUGACUAAUUUGAUGUGAAAUGAUUCAUAUUAAAUCAUGAUUAGUAAUAAAUAAAUUAAUUUAACUAAAAUUAGCUUUCAAUUAAUAAGUUCAAUUGCAUAUUUAAUGAAUUACAUAGUAGUUACAUGAUCAACUAAGUGUAUUCGUCCUAAAUAGAGUGCUCAAUUGACUAAUUUGAUGUGAAAUGAUUCAUAUUAAAUCAUGAUUAGUAAUAAAUAAAUUAAUUUAACUAAAAUUAGCUUUCAAUUAAUAAGUUCAAUUGCAUAUUUAAUGAAUUACAUAGUAGUUACAUGAUCAACUAAGUGUAUUCAUCUCGAGUAGAGUGAAAUGGACUAAUUUGAUGUGAAAUAAUUCAUAUUAAACCAUUAUUUAUAAUCUAUGAAUUGAUUUAACUAUAAUUAACUUUCAAUUAAUAAGUUCAUUUACAAUUUUAAUUAAUUUCAUUGUAGUUACACGAGGUUUUGAGUUAAAAGGAACAAAAGAGUUUGAAAAUGAGGUGUAGGUGACUCACAUUUGGAUAAUUAAGUGUUGCUGACAAUUACUUUAUUAUAGAUUAAGAAAGUUGGAGAACUUUUAGAAUAGCCCACAAGUUUUUAAUUUAUACUUUGAUCCAAUGUAGACCCUAAUAUAACUAAAAAAGAAGGAAAAACACACACGUUUCUCUCUCUUCUCAUUUAUUAUUAUUUUCUCUCUUUGAGAUUUUUGUUUUUAUUUGUUGUUGCUGCUUUAUUUAUCAUCAUCUUAUUCAUUAUCAUCAUCAUUUUCUUAUUUAUUAACAUCUUCUUCUUCUUUUUCUUCUUGUUGACCAUUAUUGUUGUUGUUACCGCUAAUGCUGCUACUUGACUAAUUUUUAGGAUAAAUUUUGUUUUGUAUAUCACUUGGGCAUUACUUCAUAGGUGAUUUUGGUAAGUAAAAUUAUGAUUUUUAGUUGAAUUUCUCAUCUGGGUAAGCUGCUACUGCUGUUUUUUCAAAAAUGGAUAGAACCCGAACAUGAGUCAAACAUAUAAGUCAUCUGUUGCAACAAAAGACUCAUAUGUUGGAUCAUGUUGCAGUUUCUAUAGUAUUGCAAAAUGAAUCCAAUAGAUGGGUCAUCUAUUUCAACAGAAGAGUUACUUGUUGUAACAGUAUACUCACAUGUCUAAACAAAACCUAAAGUUAAUUCCAAUAGAUGAGUUAUAUAUUGCAACAGGUGAGUUAUCUGUUCUAACAGAUGACUCACCUAUUGGGAUUCAAGUUAUAGAACUAUAAAACAUGAAGUUGAUUCCAAUAGAUGAGUCAUCUGUUACAAUAGGUGAUUCAUCUAUUGCAACAAGUAAGUGAUCUGUUGCAACAAGUCAUUCAUCUGUUGAAAUCAGUUUCAAAGGUUUUGUAGUACUGUAAUAUCUAUUCUAAUAGUUGCGUCAUCUAUUACAAUGAUGGAUAAUUUACUGCAAUAGAUGAUUCACCUAUUCUAAUAGAUGACUUAUUUGUUGGAAUGAGAUUCAGGUUCUAUAGUACUAUAACAUGAAUCACAACAAACUAGUCAUCUGUUGUAAUAGAUCAUUCACUUGUUGUAAUAAAUUAUUCACCUAUUAUAACUAAUUACUCAAUAGAUUACUCAUCUGUUGGGGUUCAUCUUAUAGUACUAUAUAAUCAUUAUUAAUUUUAUUAUAAUAUCAUUAUUAACUUUUUUAACAAAAGUAUCUAGGUACCACUAAUGGUGGAAUCAAUAACAAUAAGGUUGGAUUGUUAUGGUGAUGGAUCGAGAAGAACAAUUAAUAUAUUUGGCAUUGGAAAGAAGGUGAAAUGCUAGAGACGAUAGCUAUGAUAGUCCAAAGUAAUGUUUCGUAUGAUGAUUUUUCAAACUUAAUCAUCAACUAUUGUGUAUUGAAUCAUCAACCAGAAUAACUUGUCAUUAUCUAUAUGCACAACUGAUGACAUCGAAACUACACCUCCUUUUAGAAGAUGAUACGGUCACUGUAAAGAUGUAGUAACCCAACUAAGGUUAGGUCGAAUCCCAAGAGAACACGUGGAUUUGCAAAUCUCAGUACUUGUAGUCAACGGGCAGAACAAGAAAAGUAAAUGAGGGAUUGUUUGUAGUAGUCUUGAGGAAAGAAUAGUAUUAACUUCAGUUGUAAUCACUAUAGGCUUUUGAACUCUGUAGGUUCAUUGUGCGUUGUUGAACUAACCUAAUACCUUGCAUGCAGAAUCGAUAAGUUAUGUACAUUUCUACAAUCUUUUGGACGAGUAGAAGGAUUUCACCUUUUACCUUUUGUGUCUCAGGAUGUCAUAUUACUAACCCUUAUCUUGAUCCCAAUUAAAUAUUACCUUUUGAGUCUCUACUUAUUAGAUAAAAGUUAAUCAUCUUACAUAAAUAUUAUAUAGUAGCGUGGAUCGACUGUUAAACAUCAAAUUACUGUUGUCAUUAUCUUUUCAUAGUCACUACUUUUGUUUUGGAGUAAGUAGCAAUAAUCUAGGUGGGAUACUAAUGUUUGCAAUCGCUAAGAAAUCUAUUAAAGUGAAGAUAAUGCAAUGCAAACCAUGGGUAUUGGUUCAAUUCAACAAUCGCACUUUCCCUUCUUCGUUAAUUCGCCAGGGGUCGCACAACCCUAGCUAUGGGUUUUAUUUGCUCAAAGUUGUGAAGAUCUCAAUAAAAUUCAUAGUAUAAAGCAUAGAUGAAAUCACACUAAUAAGAUGAAUUAAAACUCAAAACCGUAACUUGAUUAAUCAAUUAAAGUUAGGACAAUAUAAUCCCAAGAUCAAAAUCGGAUCUUGGAAUCAAAAUAUAUUUGUGAGUGUCAAAAGUGUGUAACUCAAACUAAAAAGUACAUAAAGGAUAUUUAUAAUACAAGAGGAAACCCUAAAACCAAAUCCCAAAUGAAAUAGGAGAAAACCGGGUCGGUGGCCAUCUGCUCUCUGUAGCUAUGAUCUGGCACAGGGAACAGGUAGUACCUGCUAUCCUAACACAAGGCGCAGUUACAAACUAAAGGUUCAACUCCUCAACCUAGCUCUAUGGAUUUCCACCUUUGGCACCUACUCUGUCCACCUUCAGUCCAUAGGUUCUACAUGCGGUCCGUAGGUUUCCUUAGUAGGUGCCGAAAGUCAUUUUCAGCUAUUUUUCACUUCUUAAACAUGCUUUGAUCAUGAACAAGUUGAAAAACAUCCCAAAUAUCCAUAUUUGCUUGAAAAAGUGGCAAAACACACCUUUUCCACCUUUUUUAUUAACUUAACAUCCAAAAUAUAAUUUUCUGCAAAGCAUAUCCAAAACAAAUUAGAUCUAACAAGAUAACCUCAAAAACCUGCAAUUUUCCUCAUUUUAAGCAUCGAAAGUGCUAUAUCUCUAUAAAACAUCAAUACCCUCAACUUAGAACAUUUGCAUGUCCUCAGACAACAAAACAUAAUAAAACAAAAUGAUGCUUAACUAGGAGAAAGUAAGCUAUUCAAGGCAGUCAGUCAACAAUUAAACUCAAAACACAACAUCCCCCUCCAAUCUCAAUUUUCAAAACCAACUGUGUAUGAACAUGAAGUACAAUAGUGUGAUACAAUGGGAUCAUGGCAUGAAAAUUACAUUAGCAACAAACCACUACUCAUAUUUACAAAUUACACUAUUCGAACAAGCAAAUAGCUGGCAAUAUGGUUCAAGUGCCUUCAUAACAAAGAUGUCCCACUCACUCAUAUAAAUCAUGCAUGUCAAUGUAGGGACAGUCAAGAGACACUCAUACUUAAAAAAAAGUUCCAACCAAUGCAUUUCAAAUACCAUAGGCUUGCCCUUAUUUUCUUUACCUUAGAAUUCAGAUAGUCAUGUUAGGAUCACUAUAGGACUUUUCUCGGCUUGUAAUGUAGGCUUGGGGGCCGGUAUGGUACAUAUGGACAUAUCAAGUGACUGAGCCUCCUUGGUACUACACUAACCUUGAGGUCUCACUUACUAGCCAAUUUUCUUUUUAUUCUAUCCUUAUUUCUCCCUUUUAUUCUUUAUUGCACAUUGAGGUUGGGUGUGGUCUUUCAUUUUUUAUUUUUUCUCUUUUUCACAUUUUUUUCUUUUCUUUUGCUUUUUUUUUUCUACCAUACCCUGCCCUACUAACUUUUUCUCUUAUUUUACCCUUCUUUAUAUCCAUUUUAUGCUACACACCCCUAUGAUAGCCACCCUCAACUUAGGCAAUUUGUCUAAGUUAAGGUUCACAAUGUCUAAGGAGGACUAGGGCCAAAACAGGUUCAUUCUAAUACAAAUGGGAAUAUGAAUGGUGAAAUAAGAAAAAUAUGCUAUUAGGCCCAAAAUCGGGAUCAAGGGAUACAAUUCACACAUAAAAGGUCAUGUAGGCUAAAAGUGGACUAACCAACUAUGCUACAACCUAGGAAAGAUUAACAGGACAAGUUUUUAAUUUAACACUUAAAGGGAACUAGGCAGUAUCACACACACUCAUGGCACAGAGUCAAUAUUACCAACUAAUGCCUAUCUAGUUCAUGUAAUUAUCAGCAAAUAAUUAUUUUGUCCCUAAUUCUAAUUCCAUAACAAGAUCCACAAAAUUCACACAUAUAUACAUCAACACAAUUCUAAGACACAAAAGUUUUGAGGGGUAUCAAAAAUCAAAACAUAUCUACUGCCCUAAAUUCUCAAAAUCUCCUAAUUACACAAAAUAUCAUAAAACAAAACACAAUAUGCCUAAACAUGCUGGCUCUACUAGAAACAAGACUCUCAAGAAAAGAGGUAAGACAACUGUAACGCCCUGGGAAUACACCCUGAAUGCCAUACGGUGCUUACAGCCACAAGUGACCACAAGCUAACCCAUGAACUGGUAUCUAUUGUGAGCACUGAACUAACUAAUAAUAAAGGAUACACAUGGAACAAAGCUGGAUAUACCAUAUGGUAUAAAUAUUUAAAAAUAUCUUUGAACUAAAAUGCCUGAAAAAUAAAUGUUUAAAAACAACACUGUAAAGACUGUCAGUAAUAACUGAUAAUUGACUAACUGUCUGAAAGCCUCUAACUGACUGACUGUGGAGUUGAUGGGACAAUUCCCCAACUAACUCCGAUUGACUACUAAAUUUAAAUACUAAAAUAAACAUAAACAGUCCUUGGGAUAUGAGGAAUCACCACUGCUACUGCUACUAAUGCGCUGGGAUGUCUAGGUACGGUCAGAAAUCUGAGUGUCUGAACCUAUAAUAUGAGACAUCAUAGCGCAAGAAAUGAGUAUGCGGUCAGUACUUUGAAUGUACUAGUAUACUAAAUAAGGUUAGGCUGAUAUGCAUGACUCAUAUACAUGAAUAAUAACUGACUGAAUAAAUAACAUGAGAUAACUGAUGUAUAAUAUGUGAGGAAGCUUUAAAAUCUAUGAAUGCAUGACAUGAUACUGGAUAGUCUAUAAACUGAAAUACUGAUAUUGAAAAACUAAUAACUGUAUGCAUGCUCAAGUAAGACUGAAAUAGUACUUUGAGUUGAAUACUGUACUGAGACUGUGGGAGCUAUCAUCUAACCGACAUGCCCAAAUAAGUGCUAAUUGGGGUCCAACUUGUGACCCCAGUUUGAAUUGUGUCAGUACCAUGCCACGAGUACUAACACUGGCCGCGUGGAUGUACUAAAAUAAAAUCCCAAAGGACAAAAGAGUCACCCUCUACUAGUAGGUGCUCUAGUGAGAUAUAUGUCAACCCUUAAUUAUUAGGUUAGUAUCUCUAACCUAUGAUGGCUACAUAGAUCUAGUUUGCAGGGACUACUUCUAAAGGUCAUAAACUCAACUAGAAGGUGAGCCCCCUUCCCUGGGUUCGUUCGGUUCUAAAUUCUACUCCCAACUGAACUGACUUAGAAUACUGAACUUAUCUAAAAUUGAUUCAUAGGAUGACUGACUAAACUAAUAAUACUCAUAUAUGACUGAAAACCAUUCUGAAAGUACUAAGAAUAAGUAAAUAGCUAAAUUUCAUGUAUUCAUAACCCUUAGAACUCGAUAACAUUAACAGUAAAAGCAUACCAAAGCUUCAAAAGCAUAAUAAGUAGUCAUUGCUCAAAAUUCAUCUCUUAGGCAUUUCAUCAAACACUUGAAAUUCAUGAACUUAGGCAUGUGAAUGAUUGAAACAUGUGAGAAUAACAUAAUCAUAACACUAGAACCAUACAUUGGGCUAUUUAACAUGGAAUUUCACGCUUUAAACGUGUAAAGUCUACUUUUCAACUACAAACACUUGUAAACAUCAUGCAUAAUCAAAUUUCCCAAAAGCUUUAUGAAAUUAAGUCAUUGUAAACAUGUGAACUCAUAAUUUUGAACACAAAAAUAGAUACUUGGACUCCAUAGAUGAAAAGGGCCUAUGGAUGAACAUUUAACAUACCUUAAGGCUUUAAUCUUGCAAGAAAAUUGAUGUUCUUGAUCGUUCUUGGGUGGUGAAUCUUGAAUUAUUGGGUUUUAUUGAAGAAAUAAAGGAUUGAACUUAAUGAAUUUGGGUGAUGACUAUGGUUUAUUUUAAAGAGAAAUUGUGGAAAUAUGGCAUACAAUGCCUUAACUAAUGAUAACUCCCGUGUUUUUACAGAUUGGGCCAUGGGAGAAGACAAGACUGCCCCUCUGAAAUUAAAAUCAUAAAUGAAAUGCCGAUUGAUCCCUUACCAUGAUGCGCUAAGGCCUCCAUCGCUAUUCUAUCGUGAAAUGCCAUAGUCGCGGUGACUUCGCCUCCAUCGCUAUUCCAUCGUGAAAUGCCAUAGUAGUGGUGACUUCCUAUUUUGGAAAUCCAAACGUGGGUCAAACCUCGUCUAAAAAAUCCAAAAAAUUACUUGAGACAUGCUACAGAUACCCCUGAAUAUAAAUCAACUCAAAAACUUACAUCUCGGGGUUGGGAAGGUCAUUUUAAAAAUCACCGAAGUUAAGAGCCCAAAAAUAAAACUAAGUGUCCAACACGUAGCUAAAUUUUUAGGUUCUAAGCCCCUUGUACAUGCUUUAUAUGCUGAAUUUAGCUAUGACAAAUAUGGGGUAUUACAAUAUCUCCCCCUUAGGAACAUUCGUCCUCGAAUGAGACUGAUUAAGCUAAGAAAAUACAGAGGUACUGAGAUUAUAUGCUGAAUAUGCAUAACUGAAAACAUGACUACAUGACUGAGUCUAAAACAUGGUGUCUGAUUGAACUGAUUCAUGGCUAGAACUGAGAAUGGAAAAGAGAUAAUUUAAGGAAAACUAUUACUUUGAGGUGAGUUUGAAUUUGUGGAGAGAAGGUGAGGGUACUUGGUAUGCAUGUCUACUUCUGCUUCCCAAGUAGCUCCCUCAACGGACUGAUUCCGCCAAUGAACUUUGACCAAGGGAACUUCUUUGUUCCUUAGUCUACGAAUUUGGAGGUCUAAGAUUUUGAAUGGGAGCUCUUCGUAUGAAAGGCUUACCUGAACAUCUAUAGUUUCUCAAGGAACAACCAUAGUUGGGUCACUAAUACACUUCUUUAACAAGGACAUAUGGAACACUGGAUGCACGGAAGCCAAAUCUGUGGGCAGCUCAAACUUAAACGCUACCAUUCAAAAGUAACUCAAGCUCUUGUAAGGGCCUACAUAUCAGGGACUGAGUUUCCCCUUUUUGUCAAAUUUCUUUACUUUCUUCAUGGGAGAGAUCUUCAAAUAUACCAAAUCUCCUACUCAAACUUAAGAUCUUUUCUCCUCACAUAUGCAUAGGAUUUCUAAUGGCUUUGGGAUGUCUUAAGCCUCUCCCUAAUCAAUAGAACAUUCUCUAAAGCGUCAAACACAGAAUCUGGCCCUAUCAAUGCAAUCUCACCUACCUCAAACCAACAAAUAGAUGAUCUACAUAUCCUCCCAUAGAGAGCCUCAAAUAGAGCCAUAUGAAUACUGGAAUGAUAACUAUUAUUGUAAGAAAACUCAAUCAAUGGCAAGUGAUCAUCCCAACUGCCCUUAAAGUUGAUAACACAAUCUCUCAAUAUGUCCUCUAAGGUCUGAAUGGUCCUCUUUUCCUGACUAUUUGUCUAAGGGUGAAAGGUUAUACUGAGACAAAAUUAGGUACCAAGACCCUUCUAAAAAACCUUCCAAACAUGAGAGGUAAACUGAGUACCUCUAUCUAAACUGAUGGACAAUGGGACUCCAUGCAAUCUAACCUACUCCCUAAUGUAGAGCUUGGCAUAAUCCUCAAUUGAAUAAGAUAUAUGCACUGGCAAGAAAUGGACUGAUUUAGUUAUUCUGUCUGUAAUAACCCAAAUUAAAUUAUGCUGGCAACGUGAACGAGGCAACCCAGUCACAAAAACUAUGUUCACCUAUUCCCACAUCCAAGUGGGAAUGCUGAACUCCUACAUAGAGCCACUAGGCCUUUGGUUCUCAAUCUUAACCUACUGACAAUUAGAAUACUUGGCUAUAAACUCUGUAAUAUCCCUCUUUAUUCCACUUCACUAAUAGAUAUCUAGCAAAUCACUGUACAUCUUAAUGUCCCUUGGGUGAAUAGAGUAACGUGCACCAUGCACUUAUUCUAAGACUUGUUGUCUCAACCUAUCAACACACGACAUGUACAUCCUACCUUGAUACUACAACACACUAUCUCCUCCUUGGGAUAAAACCUCUACUUUUUGAUCUCUAACUGACUUCUUCAACUUAAUUAGACUGGGAUCCCUAUCUUGAUUUUCUUUUACUUCGGCAACCAAAGAAGAUUCCAAACUAUUCUGAACCCGUACACUACCCUCAACUAAGUCAACCAAAUGAAUGCCUAAUCUAGACAACUAAUAAACCUCCUGAACUAACUUCUUUUUAUCAUUCUCAAUAUGAGGCACACUACCCAUAGACAAACUACUAAGGGCAUCUGCCCCUACAUUGGCCUUGCCCGAAUAAUACAAAACACUUAUAUCAUAGUUUUUCAAUAAUUCUAACCUCCUUCCCUGACAAAGAUUUAAAUCUCUCUAUGAAAAUACAUACAACAAACAUUUAUGAUCUGUGAACACAACAAUAUGCACCCCAUAUAAAUAAUACCUCUAAAAUUUCAAGGCAAACACAAUAUCUGCUAACUUAAGAUCAUGGUAGGAUAAUUCUUUUCAUGGGGCUUAAUUUAUCUAGAGGUGUAGGCUAUGACCUUACUUCUCUACAUUAACACAAAAACCUAAAACAACUCUAGAAGCAUCACAGUAAACUACAAACCCAUCUAUGCCAUCUGGCAAGGUUAAAACUGGGCCUGAGGUGAGUUGAGUCUUCAACUCUAGAAAACUCUUCUCACAAGAAUCCAACUACUAAAACUUGACUUUCUUCAGAGUUAAUCUAUAAAUGAGGGAUGCAAUAGAUGAAAACCCUUCAACAAAUCAUCUGUAAUAGCCAGCCAAACCUAGGAAACUCCUGAUAUCUGAUGGAGAAAUGGGUUUGGGAAAGUUUCUCACUACUUAGGUCUUUUGAGGGUCGAAUCUAAUGUCAUCACCAAAAAUAAUAUGGCCAAAUAAAGCUACUGAUCAUUGCCAAAACUUUCACUUACUAAAUUUGGUAAACCACUGAUGGGCUCUAAGAGUCUGUGAUACAAUUUGAGAUGGCCUGCAUGAUCAUUUUCACUACGGGAAUAGAUAAGAAUGUUAUCUAUGAAGACUAUGACGAACAUGUCCAAAUACUGCUUAAACACUCUGUUCAUCAAAUUCAUGAAAGUUGCUGGGGCAUUUGUAAGACCAAAAGAGAUAACUAAGAAUUUAAAGUGACCAUACCGAGUCCUGAAAACUAUUUUAAAAAUGCCACAUUCUCUGACUCUGAGAUGAUGAUAGCCAUAUCUGAGGUAUAUCUUAGAGAAGUUACUGCUACCCUGAAGUUAGUCGAACAAGUCAUCAAUUAUGGGGAGUGGGUAAUUAUUCUUGAUUGUGACUUUAUUUAAUGGAUGGUAAUCGAUGCACAUACGAAGAGAACCGUCUUUUUUUCGCACAAAAAGGACUGGAGUGCCCCAUGGGAAAACACUGGGCAUGAUGAAUCCCUUAUCUAAGAGAUCUUUCAACUAUUAUUUUAACUCCCUAAGCUCUACUAGAGCUAUUUUGUAGGGUAAAAUAGAGAUAGGUUGGGUAUUUGGAAGGAGAUACAUUUCAAAGUCAAUUUUCCUUUUAGGAGAAACUCUGAGAAGAUCUUUGGGAAACACAUCUGGAAAUUCCCUCACUACUGAAACUGACUCAAGAUUGAGAGUCUCUUAACUAGAGUGACUAACUCGAACAAGAUGGUAGACAAACCCCUUGGAUAUCAUUUUUCCCGCUCUAAGGUACGAAACAAGCGGACCCCUAAGUGUUGAAGUACUAACCCUCCAUUCUAGGACUGGCUCAUUUGGAAAUUGAAAAUGAACAACUCUAUUUCUAUAAUCGACUUAAGCAUAGCAUGAGUGGAGCCAAUCCAUUUUGAGAAUGGCAUUAAAAUCCAUCAUCUCUAACUCCACAAGAUUAACUAAAUUGACUUUUUGGGAUAUUAUGACUGGAAAGUCUUGUAUACCUACCUGGACACAAUAGAGACACCUACUGGGGUAGAAACUGCAAAGGAUUUUAAUAAAGUCUUAGGACUGACAUCAAAAUCAACAACUAUGUAAGGGGUUACAAAAGAAAGAGAAGCUCCGGGAUCUAAUAAAGCAUAAACAUAUAAAUGAAAGACCUGCAACAUAGCAGUAACCACAUCAGGAGAAUUUUUUUGAUCCCACCAAAACUGAAGUGCAUACAAUUUAUUUGGGUGCUAACCACUGGUGGCACUGGAAGUGGCACCCUACUGAGUCGAGAGAUCGGAUGGAACUGAUGGACGACUAGACUAACCCUGUUGACCAUUAUAUGGGAAAUACCUGACCUUAUGGCCUGGUUUUCCACACUAAAAACAUAUAUCACUGCAAGCUCUACACAUACCCUGAUGGUUUCUACAACUUUUCUGGCAAAGAGGAUUUGUGCGACCGCUGUUCACAGUCCCUGGGACUUAGGGCCUGGCUCUCUCUCCCGAUUAUUAUUUCUGAACUUUAGUGCUAGCACACUAGAUAAAUAUGGAGCUGGGACUAAAUAUUUUUGAUGGAAUAGAGAGCGGUUACCACCCUCUAAGUCAGAUGAGCAAAAUUAAAGAUGCCUGUUCUAGCCCUCUUAUUCUCUUUAAGCUUCUGAUCCUCAAUCUGUUGAGCAUAGACCAUCAAUCGAUUUAAGUACAUCUCUUUAAUCAACAUUGCGGUCCUGCACUUCUUGACCAUGCUAUCAGCUACCCCAAAGACAAACUUACUCAUCUUAGACCUGUCAUCAGACCCCACAUUAGUAGCAUACCUGGCUAGCAAAGUAAACUUAAGAGAAUACUCCUUCACACUCAUGUUUCCCGGUCUCAAAAUAAUAAACUCCUGCACCUUAUCUUUCCUUAACUCUAAGGGAAAGAACCUAUCUAAAAAGGCUAUCGCAAACUCUUCCUAUUUUAACAGGCCCUGCAUCUACCCCUCUGUCUCCCUUCCACUACUUAUACUAGGUGUGCGCAACAUCCUGCAACUGGUAAGCACCUAACUCUGCACUCACUAGAAGUAACACCCAUAAUAUCACUUACAUUAUAAACCAUGUCAAGGAACUCCUACGGAUCUCAUCAAACUUAAAUCUUGAAAACAGAGGAGGGUUCAUUCGGGUGAAGUCUCGAAUCCUAAAUGGGACAGUAUAGCCACUAGAAUGGCUUGUAUGGUAGAUGGCUAAUUAUUUUGGGUUUCUACUGAGUGAGCUAAAGUAGUGAAUGUAGCUCUGAAUUUUGCAUGGCAGACAUGCUCAUUCAGGGGAUCUCCCUAAAUAGGUGUAGGUCUGAGCUGUUUCCUAUUUCUCCUUCUGUUAUUCAUUCUAGGAGGCAUGUUCUGUAAAUGAAAAGAAGAUUGAAUUAUAAAUAUGGUUUAAAUUGAGCUUAUUCUCACUCGCAUGACAUGAAUACAGAAAGAAGAGAAACUUUUCCUAAAAAAUCUUGUAGCCUCUUAUCCAUAAGUGUAGCGCGUUUCACAACCAUGCACAAGACUCUACUCAACGCGACUUUAGAGUACCUAGGACACUUUAAAACUUGGCUCUGAUACCAAGUUUGUAAUGCCUUGAGAGUGUACCCUGUAUUCCACAUAGCGCUUAUAGUCACAAGUGACCAUAAGCUAACCCAUGAGCUGGUACCUACCGUGAGCACUGAACAAACUGAUAAUAACGAAUACAUAUGUGUAGAAAACAAAGCUGGAUAUGCCAUAAGGUUUAAAAAUUUAAAAAUAUCUCUGAACUAAUAUGCUUGAAAAGAAACUAUCUUAAAAUAAUACUAUAAAGAUUUUCAAUAACAAUUGAAAACUGAGUAACUAUCUGAAAGCCUCUAACUAACUGAAUACUUACUGAAACACUAAAAUAAAAAUAAAUGGUCCUUGGGUUAUGAGAUAUCACCACUACUACUGCUAAUGGUGCGAUGGGAUGUAUAGAUGUGGUCGGGAAACUGAGCGUACGAACCUAUGAUAUAAGACAUCAUAGUGCAAGAAAUGAGUAUCCGAUCAGUACUUUGAAUGUACUAGAAUGUGAAAGGAUGAAUAAUAACUGACUGAAUAAAUAACAUGAGAUAACUGAUGUAUAGUAUGCGAGAAAGCUGUAAAAUUUGAGAAUGCAUGACCAAGCAUAUUACAUUAUACUGGAUAGUCUAUUUACUGAAAUGCUAAAAUAUUAAUACUGAACAACUAAUAACUGUAUGCAUAGUUAAGCAAGCCAAAAACUGAACUCUGAGCUAAAUACUGUACUGAGAUUGUGGGAGUAAUCAUCUAACUGGCAUACCCCAAUAAGAGAUAAUUGGGGUCUAACCUAUGACCCAAAUUAGAAGGGUGUCAGUACAGUGCCCUAGGUACUAACACUGUCUGCGUGGAUCCACUGAAAUAAAGUCCUAAAGGACUAAAGAGUCACCCUCUACUGGCAGGUUCUCCAGUGAGAUAUAUGUCAACCCUCAACUGGCAGGUUAACAUUCUAACCUAUAUUGACUAUAUAGUUCUGGUAUGCAGGGACUGCUACUAAAGGUCACACCCUCAACCGACAGGUGAUCCCCCAUCUCUGGGUUCAUUCGAUGCUAAAUUAUACUCCUAGCUGAACUAACUCAAAAUACUGAACUGAUCUAAACUUAACUGACAGGAUAACUGACUGUACAAAUAAUACUCAUAUAUGCCUGAAAAUCAUUUUUAAAGUAUUAAGACUAAGUAAAAAACUAAAUUUUUGCUAUUCAUAACACCCUGGACUCGAUAACAUUAACAGUAAAAGCAUACCAAAGCUUUGAAAGCAUAAUAAGUAGUCAUUUCUCAAAAUUCAUCUCUUAGGAAUUUUAUCAAACACUUGAAAUUCAUGAACUUAGGCAUGGGAAUGAUUGAAACAUGUGGGAAUAACAUAAUCAUAACACUAAAACCAUACAUUGAGGGAUUUAAGAUGGAAUUUCAUGAUUUAAACGUGUAAAGGCUACUUUCCAACUAAAAAUGCUUGUAAACAUCAUGCAUAAUCAAAUUUCCUAAAAGCUUCAUGAAAUUAACUCAUUAUAAACAUGUGAAUUCUUGAUUUAGAACACAAAAAUAGGUACUUGGACUCUAAGGGUGAAAAGGGCCCAUAGAUGAACAUUUAACAUACCUUAAGGCUUUAAUCUUGCAAAAGAAUUGAUGUUCUUGAUCGUUCUUGGGUGGUGAAGCUUGAAUUAUUUAGUUUUAUUAAAGAAAUAAAGGAUUGAGUUUGAUGAAUUUGGGUGAUGCUAUGGUUUAUUUUAAAGAGAAAUUGUGGAAAUAGGGCAUACAAUGCCUUAACUGAUGAUAAAUCUUGUGUUUUUACUUAUUGGGUUAUAGGAAAAGAUCUGACUGCCCCUNNNNNNNNNNNNNNNNNNNNNNNNNNNNNNNNNNCCGAUUGAGCCAUCACCAUAAUGCUCCAAAGCCUCUAUUUCUAUUUCACCGUGAAAUGCCACAAUCGCAGUGACUUGCUAUUUUGGAAAUCCAAACAUGGUCCAAACCUCAUCCAAAAAAUCUAAAACUUAUUUGAGACAUGCUACUUACAUACCUGAACAUGAAUCAACUCAAAAACUUAUGUCUCGGGGUUGAGAAGGUCACUUUAAAAAUCAUCAAAGUUGAGAGGCCAAAAAUAAAACUAAGUCUCCAACACUUAGCUAAAUUUUUAGGUUCUAAGCCCUUUAUAUAUGCACGAUGGGCUGAAUUGAGCUAAGACAAAUACGGGGUAUUACAGCAACAAAAAUCCCAAGAGAAUACUAAAACCCACAAGUAGCCCCACCCUUAGCUAAAAAUCAUGCAUUAUCUCCAAUGCAUCUAACCAAAACAAGAGAGUUAGGAACAUACAUGUUAUACCAUAGGUUCGAAUAUCCGACGUCAAUCACACAAAUACUAAUAAAAACAACAAAAUACCAUGGGUUGCCUCCCAAGCAACACCUAGUUUACUAUUACGGCAUGACUCAUUUCCCUUAGCUACUCAGACUUCACCAAGGUCUAUAUCAGCACAAACUCUGACUUCUUCCAUGUUUCCCAUGUAGUGUUUCACUCACUACCCAUUUACUUUAAAUGUGAUAUCACCAUCAUGCUUUAUCUCAAUACUACCAUAUGGGAAUACCUUAACCAUGGAAACAAGCGUAGUCUUGAAUUAUAUAACAAGAUCACAUCAUUGGGUUUGAAUAUUCUCUUUUUUAUCUUCUUGUCAUGGUACAACAUCAUUAUUUGUUUGUAUAUGGAUGAGCUCUCAUAAGCACAGAGUCAAAAUUCAUCCAACUUAUUCACCUUGCUCAACCUUAAGUUUGCUGCAUCACGCCACUCAAAAUUCAGCCUUUUCAAUACCCAUAGUGCCUUGUGCUCAACCUCAACCGGUAAAUGACAUGCUUUUCCAUAUAAAAUAUAGUAUGGGGAGGCACCUAUGGGAGUGUUAUAAGCUGUUUAGUAAGUCCAUAAUGCAUCAUAUAACUUUCUUGACCAAUCAGUUCUAUUGGCAUUCACAGUUCGUUGCCAAGAUAAACUUUAUUUCUCUAUUUGUGACUUCAACUUGACUACUUGUCUGAGGAUGGUAAGGUGUUGCCACCUAAUGCCUUACACUAUAUCUAUCUGGUGGGGCUUUGAACAAAUGGUUGCAGAAGUAAGACCCACCAUAACUAAUAAUGGCACGUAGAGUGCCAAAUCUAGAAAAGAUGUUUCUUUUAAGAAAAAUGGUGACACUUCUGCCUUCAUUAUCUGGAAGUGCAACUACCUCCACCCAUUUUGAUACAUAUUUAACCACUACCAGAAUGUAUUUCAUGCCAAAGAAGCUCACAAAUGGGCUUAUGAAAUAAAUCCCCAAAACAUCAAAUAGCUCCAACUCCAAAAUAGGCAUUAUGGAGAGUUUAUGGUGCCACAAAAUGUUUUCUUGACUCUGACAUUGGUCACAGACCUUUGCAAAAUAGUGAUCAUCCCUGUAGAUUAUAGACCAAUAAAACCAAUAUUUUAAGAUUUUAUGGGUUGUGCGUGUACCACUAUGAUGACCUCCAACUCGUAAUGAAUAACAAGCCUCUAUAAUGCUCAACAUCUCCACCUCUGGUAUACAUAUCUGAAUUACCCUAUUAGCACAAACACUAAAUAGAUAUGGCUCAUCCCAAAAGAACUUCCACACCUUAUGCAUAAAUUUCCAUCACUGCUGGAAGGAUAAAUCUUUUAGAAGGACAACACUUGCCUAGUAGUUGGCAAAAUUAGCAAACUAGGGGAUUAAAUUAUGAUAUGCUGCUAGAACAUGAUCAUCUAGAAAACCAUCAUAUAUCUCAAGAUUAUACCCUAAUUUCGAUAUAGUUUCCUCCUCAAGUCUGUAUAAGUAGUCUGGAACUUAAUUUUCUUUCCCUUUUUGAUCCUUGACAUUAAAAUCAAACUCUUAUAGUAAGAACCCAAAAAAUCAAUUAUGUUUUAGCAUAUUUAUUCAACAUUAAAUACCUCAAUGUUGCAUGGUCCAUGUUAACUAUCACCUUGUCCCCUAUCAAAUAAGACUAAAACUUCUCAAAAGCAAAAACCAUUGAGUGUAGCUUUUAUUUUGUGACUGUAUAAUUUUUCUAUGCAGGGGUCAAAUCUUUACUGGUAUAGUAUAUAGGAUGCAAGAUCUUCUCUCUUAUUUGGCUUGGGAUAGCACCCAACGUCACUUCACUUGCAUCACACAUAACCUCAAAAGGUCUAGACCAGUUAGGAAACACAAUAAUGGGUGGCAAAAUCUACCAUUCCUUUAGGAAUUUAAAAGACUUUAGACACUCAUUAUGAUGCACAAAUUUAAUAUCUUUCUCUAAAAGUUUGCACCUAGGAGUUGCAAUUUUAGAGAAGUCCUUGAUGAAUCUUCUAUAGAAACCUUCAUGGCUUAAAAAGCUUCAUAUGCCUCUAACUGAUUCUGGCGGUGGCAAUUUCUCAAUAACCUUAAUCUUUUCUUUUUCUACUUCAAUUCCAUAUUUAGAGAUCUUGUGCUUUAGUCAGAUACUUUCUCUCAUCAUAAAGUAGCAUUUUCCCAGUUUAGUACCAAACUGUAUUCUUUGAAUCUAUGUAGUGCACUAGCCAGAUGAACCAAACAAUCAUUGAAAGAAUCCCCAACUACUGAAAAGUCAUCCAUGAAUACCUCUAUCAUGUCUUCUAUUAUGUUAGAGAAUAUGGACAUCACACAUCUCUGAAAAGUGGUAGGUGCAUUGCAUAGUCCAAAUAACAUCCUCUUGAAAGAAAAGGCCCCAUAGGGGAAAGUAAAGGUUCUCUUUUCUUAGUCUUUGGGAGCAAUCAUAAUUUUAUUGUAACCCAAAUACCUAUCAAGAAAAUAUUACCAACCUCUACCUGCAAAUUUGUCCAACAUCUGAUCCAUGAAUGACAUUGGGAAGUGGUUCUUUUGUGUCCACUUGUUCAACUUUCUGCAAUCCAUGCACACUCUCUAUCAAGUCACUGGUCUUAUUGGUACUAGCUUAUUUUUUUCAUUUGGAACAACUGUGAUCCCUCUUUCAUUGGGAUGCACUGAACUGGGCUAACCCACUUGUUGUCUACAAUAGGAAAAAUCACUUCAGUAUCUAACCACUUGAUUAUCUGAUUUUUCACCACUUCUUGUAUAGGAGGAUUUAGUCAUUUCUAAUGCUUAAUAAUGGGAAUGCUAUCUAGUUAAAGAUGCAUAAUAUGUGUGCAUAUAUCUGGUGGGAUCCCCACAAUAUCUGCAAUAGUCCACCCAAUAGCUCUCUUGAAUUUCUCUAAUACUGAUAUAAAAGCUUCCACCUAUGAUCCUGAUAAAUCUGCUAUAAUAAUUACUGGCAAUGUAUUAUUGGCCCUCAAGAAUACAUACUGCAAAUGAGAUAGGAUGGCCUUUAAUUCCAAUGCAAGAGGUUCUUCAAUCAACGGUCUUGCAGAAGGUGUGGUUCUAUUCUUCAAGUCAAGAUCAGCACUCGAGGCCACUAUGCUUGCAUCACAUAUUAUGUCAAAAUGUGCAAACUAGUCCAGUAACACAAUAACAGAAGUCAAAAUCGACCUCUCCUUUAGGUAUUUGAAAUACUUGAUACACAUAUUAUUAAACACAAACUUCAACUCCUUCCCUAAAAGUUUGCAUAGUAGGGAUACAAUUUUAGAGAAGUCAUUGAUGAAUCUUUUAUGGAAAUCGACAUAUCCUAAAAAACUCCGUAUACCUUUUACUGAUACUGGAGGAGGAAAUUUCACAAUCACCUCUAUCUUCUCUUUGUCUGCCCCAAUGCCAUAUUUGGAGAUCUUAUUCCCUAACACUAUAGCUUCUCUUACUAUGAAGUGACAUUUUUCAUAAUUUAGCACCAAAUUACAUUCUUCACAUAUACGCAGUACACUGGAUGGAUGUGUUAGGCAAUCAUCAAAUGAAUCUCCAAUAAUUAAAAAUUGACCCAUUAAUACCUCAAUCGUAUCUUUCACCUUGUCAUAGAAUAUAGACAACAUAUAUCUCUAAAAGGUUUUAGGUGCAUUGAAUCUGAACAACAUCCUCUCGAAUGCAAAGUUCCCAUAGGGGGAAGUAAAGGUAGUCUUUUAUUGAUCCUCGUGAGCAAUCAUGAUUUGAUUGUAUCCAUAGUACCCAUCACAAAAACAAUACCAACCCCGGCUGGAAAAUUUGUCCAACAUCUGAUCCAUGAAUGACAUUGGGAAAUGGUUCUUUUGUGUCCACUUGUUCAACUUUCUGCAAUCCAUGCACACUCUCUAUCAAGUCACUGGUCUUAUUGGUACUAGCUUAUUUUUUUCAUUUGGAACAACUGUGAUCCCUCUUUCAUUGGGAUGCACUGAACUGGGCUAACCCACUUGUUGUCUACAAUAGGAAAAAUCACUUCAGUAUCUAACCACUUGAUUAUCUGAUUUUUCACCACUUCUUGUAUAGGAGGAUUUAGUCAUUUCUAAUGCUUAAUAAUGGGAAUGCUAUCUAGUUAAAGAUGCAUAAUAUGUGUGCAUAUAUCUGGUGGGAUCCCCACAAUAUCUGCAAUAGUCCACCCAAUAGCUCUCUUGAAUUUCUCUAAUACUGAUAUAAAAGCUUCCACCUAUGAUCCUGAUAAAUCUGCUAUAAUAAUUACUGGCAAUGUAUUAUUGGCCCUCAAGAAUACAUACUGCAAAUGAGAUAGGAUGGCCUUUAAUUCCAAUGCAAGAGGUUCUUCAAUCAACGGUCUUGCAGAAGGUGUGGUUCUAUUCUUCAAGUCAAGAUCAAACUUCUUAGGGGCAUAAUAGUAAGAGCCUAUUCUAUGUAAGGAACCAAAAAUCUCAUCAUAAUUAUCUAUUCCAUCACUCUCAAAGUUCAUAAUCAUGACUGAUACUAUUUUUACCUGUAAUCUCUCCUCAAUAGGCACAUCUACUGUGAACAUAUCAUCAUUCACUGCAUCUAUCCCACUACUCUUAUAUCAUCUAACUGUUAUAUUGUCAUACAUAUAUUCAACACAAUUUGAUCAUCAUUUUAAUUAAAAGUGAUUUCUUCCAAAUCCAUGUCAAUCAACCCUUGACCAAUAGACAAGAAAGGUCUACCCAAUAUGAUAGGUGAAUGGGUAUCCACUUCAUAGUAUAGAAUCAUGAAAUCUAUCGUAUAAAUGAAUGAUGCUACCAUUACUUACAUGUUAUGUACAACACCUACUGGCUUUUUUAUAGAUAAAUCAAUCAUUAACAACCUUUCUGAGAUAGGUUUGAGUUUGCCUAUACCUAAUACCUUGUAUAUCCCUAAUGGAAUUAUAUUUAUUCAUUCUUCCAUAUCAUAUAGAGCCUGAUUAAUCUCAUAAGUCCUAAUGGAACAUAGGAUAUUGACUGCAUCUGGAUCCCCUUUCUUUUAUCCCAAUGGUCCAUAAAAAUAUGAGCUAAACUAUUGCACUAUAUUAUGGAGUUCUUCUGUAACCUAGUCAUUAUCUUAAUCACUAUAGAAAUAAUCAUCACCAUAAGUUAGCUUCUCAAACUCUACCUCAGAUAGCUCAUCAGCAACAACAUCCUUCUUUUUCAGUACAUCAGUAGUAGUUGAAAAAGGUUGAUCAGGUAAGGGGUCAUCCCUAGUGUCAAUGGUUCUAUAAUGAACAAGUGUAGGAGGAUUCUACAUAGUGUCACAAGUAAAUGCUCCUGACUGCCUCUCAGCUAAAGUAACAGAGAUUUUCCCAUAUUGCUACUCUAACUAUUUGAUAGUAGUUGUAUAUGACUCAACCUUUUGGGCUAAUCCUGAAAUAUUAGCCUUAAGUUCCUUGAGAUAAAUCUCUUAGCUCUCUUGAAACUUCAUUAGCUUGGUCAACAUUUCUUCUAUUUUUGAUUCUAUAUCUCAUCUACUAGGUAAAAUGUACUUAUCUUUCUUCUCAUAAUAGUCUGACCUUUAAUCCCUUGCUCUUAGGCUCGGAAACUCGCCAACUAACGAUCCACAUACUUUGCCUCCUCUACUGAGUCAAACUCAUGUAUCUUAUAAGAAUUUACUAUUGUAAAUUAUUUGGUUAAUUCACCAUUAUCCAUCUGUAAUAGUUAAAUCUCUUGAGGUACAACAUCCUUAAUUCUUUUUUGAUCACCGGAAGCUUCAAUGGGCAUAAAUAUCAGAACCUCUCUCAACUUCCUCAGUUUUCCACCCUCAGUUAGUUAAUGAGAUCUGAUCCAUAAUAUUCAAAGAUAUCUCCCAUGGUAAUCUCAGAAAGGCUCCUCCAAAGAUAGUGUAUGCCAUCACUUUGGAAUUGAUUGUCAGGGCUCUAUAGAAUAUCUCUGACAGGCUUUUCUAUGAUAUAGGGUGGUUGGACACUAUGAUAAUCUUAUUCUUGAACUUGAACCAUGCCUCAUACAUAGACUCUGACUAACUGCAUAAAAUUAUAAAUCUCUUCCUUGAGUUGUAAUACCCUGAAUAAAGGAAAGAACCUGUUCAAGAACUAUCUGUGUAGCUUAAUCCAAGUAGUAAUAGAACCUCUUGGAAGUUCCCCUAGCAAUAAUGAUGCUUCUCCAGUAAGUGAGAAAGAAAACAACCUCAGUCUCAGUGCCUCCUGAUCUACCCCAAGUAUGGUAUAUGAAGUGCAGAUCCCAAUAAAUUUGUUAGAUUCAUGUUUGCGUCGUCUGUAGGCAACCCUACAAACACACCCUUCAAGUAUAAGAGCUGGAUCAUAGAACUAUAAAUAUUGAACUUAACAUUGGGAGGUAAUAUAAAAGGGAUAAUGGCUCCAGUUUCUGCUGUCUCAACGAAUCCCAUAUCUUCUUCAUCAUUAAUAUACGACUGCAUAUACUGAUAUGUUGGGAUGGCUUAAGGUUGACCUCUUCAAAAUCUAUCCUAAUUUUCACCGAGUAUUUCUAGGCAGUCUGCUACCUGUCUCUUAUUAGCUAACUCUAUCUGAGCUAAUAUUUUAUUAGUUUGUCUAUCAACAACCUCCUAAACUCCUUCUUAAGAGAGAUUGUCCUUCUUCAGCUCUCAUAUCUUACUAUAUAAUUGUAGGAUCUUCUCUAAAAUUAGUGGGAGUAAGGGAUUACCUCUACUCUAUGUGAUAGGAAUACACUGGUAUAUUCCCAACUCAAAAAAAAAAUAAAAACCCAAAAACUACAAACAACUUCAAAUCGCAAAUCAACAUUGUGUUCCCUGGCAACAACGCUAAUUUCUUGAUGACAUCCAAGCAAUAUCUCCUUUUAGAUGAUGAUACGGUCACUGUCAAGAUAUAGUAAUCAAGUUGGGGUCAAAUCCUAAGUAAAUAUAUGGCUUUGUAAAUCUUAGCAGUUGUAGUCAACAAGUAGAACAAGAAGAGUAAAUGGGGAAUUGUUUGUAGUAAUCUUGAGCAAAGAAUAGUAUUAACUAUAAUUGUAUUCAGUAUAGGUGAACACUAGGAUUGCGUUCCCCUUAGAUUCUCAAAUUUGUAGGUUUAUCAUGCAUUGUUGAACCAACUCACUACCUUGAAUGUAGAACUAAUAUAUUAUGUACCUUUCAAUAGUCUUUUGGACUAGUAGAAGGAUUUCACUCUUACCUUUUGAGUCUUAAGAUGUCGCAUUACUAACCCUUAUCUUGAUCCCAAUUAACUAUUACCUUUUGAGUCUCUAGUAUUUAGAUUAAAGCUAAACAUCUUAUGUAAAUAUUACCUAUUAGCAUAGAUCGAUAGUUAAACCUCAAAUUACUAUUGUCAUUAUCUUUUCAUAGUCACUACUUCUCUUUUGGAGUAAUUAGCAAUAAUUUAGGUAGGAUCUUAACAUUUUCAACCGCUAAGAAAUCUAUUAAAGUGAAGAUAAUGCAAUGCAUUCCAUGGGUAUUUAUUUAAUUCCUCAAGAUAAGACAAUACAAUCUCAAGAUCAAAAUUGGAUCUUGAAAUCAAAAUAUGUUUGUCAGUUUCAAAAGUGUGUAAAUCUGACUAAAAAGUAUAUAAAGGGUAUUUAUAGUAUAAGAGGAAACCCUAAAACCAAUGCCUAAAUAAAAUAAGAGAAAACUAGGAUGGUGGCUACCUGCUCUCUAUACCUACGGUCUGGCAUAGGGCAUAGGCCGUACCAACAGUCCUAAUAUUAGGCAUAAGUGCAGACCAUAAGUGCAACUCCUGCAGCCUAGCUCUCAAGAUUUCAAUCUCUGUCCACCUACAGUCCAUAGGUCCUACAUGCAGUCUGUAGGUUGCUUUGGUAGGUGUUAGGAGUCAUCUUUUUAGCUCUUUUAAACUUUUGAAACAUGCUUUGAUCACGAACAAGCCGGAAAACAUCUUGAAUAUCCAUAAUUACCCGAAAGAGUGGCCAAAAAUACUUUUUUGACCUUUUCAUGAACUUAACAUCCAAAACAUGAUUUCUUACAAAACAUACCUAAAAUGGAUCAUAUCUAACAAAAUAGCCUAAAAAACAUGCAUAUUUUCUUAGUUUUAAGCAUCAAAAGUGCUAGAUUUCAAUAGCACAUCAACAACUCCUUUUAUAAUUAGAGGGUACUACCUUUCAAGAUAACUAAUCAGGUUUGGUUGCGUUCUUAUCUGACCGAGUUAGCUAGCCCAUUGUUAAGGGCGUAUGUAGUUGAAAAACUAAGAGAGAAUGAGAAUCACAAUGUAGAAGAAAAACAAGAACAAAAAGAUAUGUUUGAUGAUAAAUUGGAUGAUAUGGAAAUAAAUAUUCUACAUGAUGAUGAGAGUAGUGGAGAUCAAGUGAGGAAGGAUGAUCAAACACCUGCGUCCAUUGUUGCAAGCAAUAUUGUGGGUGGUUCUUCUCAAUCAAUGUAGUUGGGAAAUCGUAAAGAUGAUGAGACUGGUAAUUUCAAGGGAAUGGCAUUCAAGAAUAAAGAUGAAAUAACUACUUCUUUGUAUAUUGCUUGCUUGAAAAAUAAUUUGUACUAAAGAAUGUGAUUAAUUCAAGAAAUAUCUAUUAUUUUAGAUGUUCUAAUCCAAAUUGCAAGUGGUGGUUGAGGGCUGUGAAAUACUUAAGUUCUAACAGAUUCAUCAUUAAUGUUUAUGAAAAGUAUCACACAUGUGGUUUAGAGCAUGUUAUGAGUCAUAAUCCUCAUUCCAUGGCAAAGGUCCUCGAUAAAUAUUUCAAAAAUAUAUUCCCUAAUCGAAAAGCCCCUUCUACAGGUGAUAUGACUAAUCAAUUUCGUACAGAAUUCGAUGUUGUGAUCAGUUAUUGAAAGAUUUAUAUGGCCAUGGGGAUUGCCAAGGACUUGGUCAGGGGGGUACAUGAGCACGGGUAUGCAGUCUUGAGUCCACAUAUCCCAAAAGUAAGACGACAUUGCAUGUUGAUGAAACUGGAAGGUUAAAGUAUUUUGUUGUAUCCUAUGGUGCUUGGAUUAUUAGUUUUAAACAACUGAGAAAAGUCAUAUCCAUCGAUGGGAAUUUCCUAAGGAGCAAGUAUAAUAGAGUUUUUAUAUCAGUGGUGGCACAGGUUGCCCAAGAGUCAUAUCUUUCCUAUCCAUUUUUGUGUUAUGGACAGGGACUAUGAUGUAUCAUAUGCAAAUUUUUUUUGAACGAAUACAAAGUUGUGGAGACAAUAUCAAAGAGUUGUGUAUAAUUUUGGAUAGGCAUCCAAGUAUCCAAAAUAUAGGUUCAAUUUUCUUCACUUCAGCUCACUUUAGUUGUUGCAUGAGGCAUCUUGAAGAACAUAUUCAAAACAACUUUCAUAAUGAAAGGGUCGUGACUCAUUUUUAUAGAGUAGCUAAAGCAUAUAAUAGAACUAAUUUUUUUGACCAUUUUUAUCAAAUAAGGGAUAUGCAUCCUAAGGCAGCACAACAUCUCAAAUAUAUCAAUUUUGAGAAAUAGAGCCGGGCAUUUUGUCCGGCAAAUAGGUAUAUGAUUAUGAAUUUAAUUUCUUGAUUGAGUUACAACUUUGUAAUACUGUAUGAUGUCAUACUAAGUGAUUAUAAUAUUAUGACAUCAAAUAUAAUUGAAUCAUCAAAUUCAAUGUUUGGCAUUGAAAAAGAAUUUCCCAUAUGGCGAUAUUUAAUGAAAUAAACUAGAGGUAUGCCCAAUUAUUCAUGAAUGGUGUAUGAAAUUAGUGAACAAAAUCAAUAAACUUGUUCUAAAAGUGGAAAAACAAAUAUCAACAAACAUCAGUUUGGAAAAUGUUAUUUGCCCAUCAAAUAGCAAAUUACAAGUUCAGUAUUGAUAGUCAUGGUGAUGUUGCCACGACCUAUCUUUAAUGAAGAUCUUGUAUAUUUAGAGUUUUUAACUUGGACAAAAUACCUUGUCCACAUGCUAUAGUAGUGCUUCGAGCCUAACAUGGUGCACAAUAUGGAACUCAAAUUUAUGAAAAAUAAUCUUCAUAUUAUUUGGUGAAAAGAUAUAAUGGCAUAUAGUGAGAAUAUUAAUCCGGUGCCUCCUAAAGUGAAACUUCUAGGCUUUAAACCAUAAGAAAAUUCCUUUAUUUGAUGUCUCUUUUCUAGGUAUGACUAAGGGUACCACUGUACCCAUAGGAUACGAGUUAUAGACCUCCUCUCAUAUCCUAGGCAAUAUGGUGAGGGUUACUCAGUGUCCUAGGUACGAGUUAGGCCCCCGCAUCAUACACUAAGGUAUGAGUUGUACCCAAUAUAGUCAUAUAGAGAGGUGUCUUGGACUAGAAGUAGACUAUUUUUUGUAUAAGUGAUGUGUACAGUUUAGGUCAUAAGUCAUACGCUUUGGAUACAACUCAAAGGUGUGUAGUCAUACCCUAACCGAUAUUGAUAACCUAAGAGAAGCAUAGGGUAUGAGUUAGGAUACCACUCAUAUCCUAGGGUACGAUUGGCUUAAGUGAGUCGUACCCCCCUUGAAGGCCACUUUUUAGCUUUUAAGUCAAGGGUUCAUGGUCAUUUCCCAUCCCAAAACCCUUAAUUCCCUUCAUUAUAUAUGGAAUUUUUGCCUCCUAAACUCUCAUUUACAAGACUUAAACAUUUCAAAAUACUCUCAAAGCUUCUUAAAACACGAUUGAAGGAGAGGGUUUGGAGGGCGUUUAUCUAGAAGCAAAGAAGAGUCAAGUUCCUUUGGGUAAUCAAGUUGUCUAAGGCAUGUAACUCUUUACCUAGUUUUAACUCAAUCACCAUGUGUUUUAGACAUGUAUUAAUACUUGUAAAUGAUGAUUUUGAAAUCAAAAUAUUAAGGGUUUGAUGGCUAGUGAUGAGUUAUGUGUGUUCUUACUUAGACUUAUGUUUAUACAUGAUAUUGUUGAUGUUUUGUACAUGUGGGUGCUUGUCGUAUGUAGUUGUGGAUCUGAAGUAAUACUAAUCUUGAUGAUUUCUAUCUUGAAAUUGGCCUUGGUAAGGACAUAUACACAAGGUGUUUGUGAAAAUGUCUAAGUGAAUUAUCUAGUCACAUGGUUGGAAUGUUUUAAACUAGGAAAAUGGCUCAAUAAGUAUGAAUGAUUGAUAAAUGAUUUUGUAAAGGUAUUGUGGGCCAUGUAUUGUGUAAUUGAUGACCUUGUUGGUUUGAUGGCUAGUAAAAAGUUAAAAUCCCUAGACAUCAAAUUGUACUUAAAUUGUAUGUUGAACCAAGUGUGGUAAGAAUGUGGUAUAAUAUUGCUAGUAAAGUGUGAAUGGCUUGUAAGGGUCUUGAUGACCAUAAACUAAAUUGUAUGAUGAAUUGAAUUAAGCCAUUGGCCUAUUCAAUUGUUUAAGCAGCAAAGGCUCCCAUAAAUACCUUGUAGUUAUGAAUGGUGUUGAAUUAGUUGAAUAGGUUAAAGUCCUUAAGUGUUAAUUGAAUAGAUAAUGAUGUAUGAACAAAGGGUUAAACUCCUAAUGUCAACUAUGGUAGUUGUAAUGGCUUGUGGUUAAAGUCCCUUACCUACUAAUGUUGCUUAUGGUUAAUGUCCCUUGCUUAAAUAGAAUGGCUAGUGGUUAAAGUCCCUUGACAAUUAAUGUGUCUUAUGGUUAAAGUCUCUUGCUUAAAUUAAAUGUCAUGUUGUUAGAUUCCCUUGCCUAACAAAUAUGUCGGCUUGGGUUAGAGUCCUUUAUUUACUAUGGUUUGAGGUUAGAGACCGUAUCCAAAUAUAGUUACAUGAGGUAAAAGUCCCUUUCUCAUUGAGUGUGUAUAUGGUUAAAGUCACUUUGUCAAAUGAUGAUUGUGUAUCUAUAAGUGUGGAUGGUCGGAGUCCUCUACUUUAUCAAUGAUGAAUGAGUGCUUCAAGAGUGUUGAUAAGACUGUUCCCUUAUAUGACAUAUGAUAUACCUAUAUUUAUGGAUAAGUGGAUUAAUGUGAUUGAAUAUAAUAUAUUGACCUAUGUUAAAUGAAAAUAUUAUUUUAUACAUAUCCUUGAGUUAUAUGCCAGUGCUCCAACCGCUAACCAUCUCUGAAUGCUAUGUCCCUACAUGACAUAGGGGCUGGAACAUCGUCUUUUUUUCCUGUGCAGUGAUUAGACAAUUGAAAUGAUUCAUACCUUGAAUUUGGAGUGGUGAGCAUCGUUACUUUAGAAUAUAUUCAUUCUAGGUCUCUUAUCUUUAGACUUAAUCUUAUUCAAACCUUGUUUGGCUUUUGGUGGGAGCUUGUUCCAACAUAUACAUUUCUAUACAUCAUUUUGUAUAGAGGUAUUAUGGAUCAAUGUGGACUUGGGUAUAUUGACUAGUAUGUUGAUAUAUAUGAAUUUUUUAGACAUUAUUAAGUUAUUAUUUCUGCUAUUGUGAUUAUCUAGUAGGGAAUCACUCAACUCUUGUGGUUAAUGUUAUGAUUAGGUUGAGUUGAUGGGGAAACCUCUGGUUUAUGUUGGGCCUGAGGUGCCCAUACGACAUGGCCUAUUUUCUGGUCGUGUUAAGUUGGUAUCAGAGCCUAGGUUCAUGUAGGUUGGGUGUCUAUAAUGUCGUGUUAAGUAGAGUCUAUUUUAUGGGUGUGAAGUUUUCCACACUUAAAAGAGAGGGGCUACGAGACAUUCUAGGAAAUGUUUCCCUUUCUUGUGUUUCUAUCUCAAGAUAUUGAGUUUAAGGCCUUGGAUUCCUCUGAUUUCUAUUUGCUAUCUUUUAGAUCAUGCUUCCGAGAAGAUCUGAUACCCAGUCAAACCCUUCUAUGGUCCCUAUGGAUGAAUCUCAUACAACUUUUGGGGUCCAGACCUGGGCUAGGGUUACUACUUCUGACCAUCCUUGUGGGGUUCUAUCGGUCCCUAGUAACCCUACUUAUGAGGGUGACACUCCUACUCAGUCACCACCUACGGAUGCUUCUAAUAUUGAGUUUCAUCGCUCUAUUAACCUAUUGCUCAAUUGGUUGCUUUUCAUUUGGAGAGUGGUGCUCCGGCUACUAUUUAUUUUGAGGCCAAAAGAGUUGGCCAAUUUAUGAGGUUGAUCCCUCUUAUGUUUUGGGUAUGAAGGUUAAAAAGGAUCUUCAAGGAUUCAUCAAUAAAAUAGAGAAGAUCUUCUAAAUCAUGUAUGCUUUAGAGGUUGAGGCCAUUGAGUUUGGUUCCUACCAAUUGAAGGAUAUAGAAUACCAAUAGUAUGAAGGAUGGGAGUUGUAUAGAGGUAUGGAUGCUAGUGCUGCCACGUGGGAGGAUUUCUCUGAGGCCUUCUUAGAUCACUUUUUUCCUCAAGAGUUGAUGGAAGCUAAGGAAGAAGAGUUUCUAAACUUGAAGAAAAGGACGAUGUCUACUCAGGAGUAUGCCUUGAGAUUCCAUCAGUUGUCAAGGUAUGCUCUCGAGAUGGUUUCUAGUAUAAGGGCUAGAAUGCAUAAGUUUGUUUUGGACUGUCCUGAGAGUUGGUAAUUGAGUGUAAGACAGCUUUGUUGAUUAAAAAUAUGGACAUAUCUAGGUUGAUUGUGUAUAUGAAACAAGUGGAAGAAGAUAAAAAAGGCAAGUUCAGUUUAGUGAAAGGCAAGGGAAGAAAUCUAGGCCAAUCGAGCAAAGUGGUAGAGAUGAUGGCAAGUGGCCAUGAAAUAAGUGGGAGAGUUAAGGUUUUAUCUUAUCGGCUAGUUCUCACUCUUCUUACCCAAUGUUGUUGGGUGAUAAUCGAUCUCAGUUUAGUGGUGGGUCCUAGGCACAAAGUGCCUAAUUCCAGACUAUUGGUGCUCAGUCGGCUCCACUCUACCCUCCUUGCAGAUUUUAUGGUUAGAGUCAUCAUUAUCAGUGUAAGAAGGUGAGAAAGAGAUGUUUUAGUUGUUGUUAUAUUGGGAAAAUGCAGCAUAAGUGCCCCUCUCUAGCAGCUUCUUCGGCCAACAAGGCCCCUAUUGCUACUUUCUCUUCUCCAACACCAAAGAUUGUUGUCUCUACUUCUACUUUUAUUUUUAGCAGUGAAACUGGACGAAAACACUUGUAUGCACUUCAUAUUCACAAGAAUUUUGAGGCAUCUCUCGAUGUUUUCACGAGUAUGUUAAAACUUUUCUUUUGUGAUGUAUUAUUUGCUUGAUCCAGGGUCUACUCUUUUCUAUGUGACUUUGUAUGUGGUUGUACAUAUUGAUUUUGGUCUCGAUAGUUUGUUGGUUUCUUUUUUUGUUGCUACCUAGGUAAGAGACUUUGUGGUUGUUAAAAAGGUCUAUAGAGGUGUGUGGUAGCUGUUAGUGGUAAAAAACUCUUGUAGACUUCAUAGAGUUGGACAUAGUUGAUUUUGAUGUUAUUCUGAGGAUGGAUUAGUUGCACUCGUGCUAUGCUUCCUUAGAUUGUCAGACCUGUAGGGUCAUGUUUAAAUUCCCUAAUGAGCCGGUCAUUAUCUAGGAAGGCGGUUUUUUAGUGCCUAAGGGAAGAUUCAUUUCAUAUCAUAUAGCCCAAAAGUUGAUUUUAAAGGGGUGUUUAUAUUAUUUGAUCCAAGUUAAAAAGUUCUAACUCGGAAGAGCCUUCUCUAGAAUCUGUUUCCUUGGUGUUUCUUGAUGAUCUUCCUGGUAUUUCUCCCAAUAAGGAAAUUGAUUUUGGGAUUGGUCUUGUUCCAGACACUUGUCCGAUUUCUAUCCCUUCUUAUAGAAUGGAUCCAAUGGAAUUGAAAGAACUUGAGAAAUUCAAAGACCUCUUAGAUAAAGGCUUUAUUUGUCGUAGUGUAUCUCCUUAGGGUGCUCCCAUAUUGUUUGUGCAUAAGAAGGAUGGUUCCCUUCAUAUGUGCAUUGAUUAUCACCAGUUGAACAAAGUGACCAUAAAAAAUAGAUACCCUCUUCCUAGGAUAGACGAUUUAUUUGAUCAACUUCCAGGUGAAAAGUGUUUCUCUAAGAUUGAUCUUAGAUCGAGUUAUCAUCAGCUUAAAAUUAGGUAGGCGGAUAUCCCUAAGACUACUUUUAGAACUCGGUAUGGUCACUAUGAGUUUCUAGUCAUGUCCUUUGGGUUAACCAGUGCCCCAGUGACAUUCAUGGAUUUGAUGAAUAGGGUCUUUCAUCCGUUCUUAGACAUGUUUAUUAUUUUCUUGAUUGAUGAUAUCGCAAACUUUGAAGGAUCAUUGUUUAGAUGCCAAUUUCUGUAAAUGUGAGUUUCGGUUGAAAUCCAUAGCUUUUCAUGGUCAUGUUAUCUCUAGUGAAGGGAUCAUGGUAGAUCCUCAAAUGGUUGGAAUGGUUUAGAAGUGGCGUAGAACCGCGACUCCAACCGAUAUUCAGAGCUUUUUGGAUUUAGCCGGUUACUAUAGAAGAUUCAUGGAGAGAUUUUUGACUAUAGCUACCCCAUUGACCUAUUUGACCCAAAAGAAGGUCAAGUUUUUGUGGUCGGAUACGUGUGAGGGUAGUUUUGAGAAGUUGAAAGAUAAAUUGACUUUGGCUCUAGUUUUGACCUUUCCUAAAGGUAAUGAUGGUUUUGUGAUAUAUUUUGAUGCUUCUCGCAUUGAGAUUAGUUGUGUAUUGAUGAAACAUGGUAGAGUGGUGGCCUAUGCUUCUAGGAAAUUGAAAUUUCAAGAGAAGAACAACCCUACUCAUGACUUGGAAUUGCUAGUAGUGGUUUUGCUUUAAAGAAUUGGCGACAUUAUCGAUACUACUAGCAUUUUUGGGAUAGACUUUAACCGCUAUUCCUACGUGUCCAAACUCUAAUCCAUGAUUUAUCUUUGAAUACAAGUGUCAUGAUCUUUAUCCUAGUGUGUAAAGUUCUUAUGAGGUAAAAAAUAUUCAUAGGAAUCACUUAGAACAAUGUUGUGCUUAGAGCCUUUGAUUCGUCCAAAGUUUGGUAUUCGAUUCUCAAGGGUCAAAUUUGAAUGUGUAUAAAUUUUUAUAUAUGUGGAAUUUUGCAGCUCAAAACCCACCAAAUGAUAGAUAAUUAAGCUAUCUUUCCAAUGAUAACAAUUUCUCUUUAAUUCGAUAGCCAAGAAAAAACUUAUGCCCCUUUUCGUGAGAGACAGUAAGGGGUUGAGAUAGCCCUGCAUCGUGAGGGCUAUUCCACUUAAUUAGGGGUCGCAUCGUAAGGGCAGUUUAACUAGACUAUGGGUCGCGCCGCGAGGGCUAUAUCCCCACUGUUUUAGCUUCUUAAGGGUCAAAGGGCACUUUGGUCCUUUCCCCUCAACCCCAAACAUCCAAGGCACGAAUUAAAACCCCCAAAAGGGCACUAGUUGCCUAUAUUCUUCAAAGAAACUCACAUAAAAACCCUCUCCUUUUACCCAUGAAUAAAUUUCAAGUUUCUCCUCUCAAGAACACAAGGUAUUCAAGCUUCAAUUUCAAGAUUUCUUCAAUAAUUUGUCAACUAAGGUAUGUGGAGUUUAUGAACAAGGAUCUUCUCUCAUCCUUGUUCCCAAAACUUUCUUUAACAAUUAAAGUUCAUGAUUUGCAGUUAGGGUUCAUACCCAAUUAGCCAUAUUCUUUAAUUUUGAUAUUUCCAUGAGAUUAAAGGCUUUAAGUGCAUCAAGAUUUACUUAUAUCCAUGUUUCCUCACGAAUUUUACAUUCAAGCCAUGUUAUUAGCUUAACAAUGUAAAAUAUGAUUCUAUGUGAUUCAAACCCCAAACUUACAUGUCAUGAUUUGUCAAUGCCAAGUUAAAUUGUUAAGCUCAUGUAUUUAUCCCUGUUAACAUGAUCCCAUUUUCAAGUUCACUUACUUCCAUAUUAUAAGUCAUGAGAUUAUCAGUUAUUUAAAUGCAUUAUGUUUUGGUGUCACCAAAUUAAGACUUCCUAUGAAUAUUUUAGAUGAUUUUUUCAUAUUUAAAGUGUCAUUCAGUACUGGCAGGUUACGAACACUUGAUACCUAUGUGUUUUUACAUGAUUUUAGAUUUUCGAGUAAUAACUCAGUUAAACCAUGUCUUAUUGUUAUACUCAGCUUUUCUGCUCAUGUCCAGCACUGUUAGUUUAUAGUUUUAUGAUUACUUCAGACUCUAUAUGCACUGAUGUUUUCAAAACACCAUGACCUAAGAUUAUUUUAUCAACUUUAGUGUAUGCACCCAUUUAUGAUUUUAGUGUCAGUUAAGUUGGGAGUAGGAUUUUACACCGAGAGAACCUAGGGAUGGGGGCUCACCCAUCAAUUAGGACUAGGUCCUUAGUAGCAGUCCCUAGGUUUCAAAACUAUGUAACCAGCAUAGGAUUUUAAAAUGUCACCUGCUAGUUUAAGAAUGACACUCUCUUAGGGGUCACCCACCAAUUUAAGACUGACUCUCUAAUCGUUUAGGCCACCAAAUUAAUCUAUCUAGACAACCAGUGUUAGUACCAGUGUCAUGGUACUAACACCCUUCCAACUGGGGUUACAGGUUGGACCCCGAUUAGCUUAGAUUGGAGCAUGUCAGUUAGAUGAUACCUCCCACAUUCUCAGUCAAUAUUUAGUGUAUCUCAAAUCAGGUUUGCUUGCCCAAGUCUUAGAUUUCUAGUUAUUCAGUUAUACAGAUUUCAGUCUUUCAAAUUAUAGAUUAUCUUGUAAAUAUGUUUAUGCUUGGUCUUGCAUUCUCAGUUUUACAUGUUCAUAUUUUUAUAUUUAGUAUCCAUAAAAGAUCCACAGUUCAGUUUUACAUGAUUAGUAUUCAGAUAUUAGUUAGCCAAUUUUAAUAUAUCAAGUACUUAGUAUAUGGACAUUAGUUGCCCAUUUACUUAGAUUCCAGUCAUUCAGUUAAUCAGGCAUCGACCAUUCAGUUAAUCAGAUCCUCUUAGUCUAUGUUAUGUUUGGUUUGCCAAUUUUAAUAUAUCAACUACUUAGUAUAUGGACAUUAGUUGUCCAUUUACUUAGAUUCUAGUCGUUCAAUCAAUCAGGCAUCAACCAUUCAGUUAAUCAGAUCCUCUUAGUCUAUGUUAUGUUUGGUUUGUAUGCUUAUUCAUUCAUGCUCAAUAUAUUUAUAUAUUUUGAUCUUUGAGUUAUGUUAGUUUCCAUCAUGUAGUUUUAGACCCAGUAUUCAUACAAUAUUCAUGUUUUUACCGCUUUCCAGCUUCAGUUCUACUUAUUCUACAAAAAUAAAUCUUUAAGAAACUAAGUGUAGUGAUUCACUAGCUUAUUAGAUUAUGUUUGUUACUUAUAUUUUAAGAUACUUCAGCUUUCAGUUUAGUUCAGUCUCUUGGUGAGUCUACUUGCACUUAGCAUAUAUGUUUUAAGAUUAUGUUCCUAAUCACUUUUACUUAUUGAAUUUACCCCCACUUACUGAGUACUUUCUAUAAGUACUGAUCCACAUAUAUGGCUAUGUCCUACAUUUUCUUAUAAUGUAGGUACCAGUGUAGACUACACAUCAUAAUCGUGCAGUUUACAGCUUCCAGUCAGCAGGUGAUCAGUUCUUCUAUUUUGGGGACUCCAGUUAGAUGUUGUUCAUAUACUUUAUUUUUAUUAUUCAUAUAUAUUGAGUAGUGGUAGUUUGAGGCAUGUCCCAGUUAUCUAUAGUCAGUAUAGUAGAGGCUUCAUAGUUCGUCCAUCGGAGUUAUUAAAUGUAAGUUCCAGUUCUCUAUUUAGUUUUAUUAGGUUGUAAACUUUAUCAAUAUUUUAGUUAUACAGAUUAUGUCAUGAUUAUGUUUCCUCGCAACAAAUUUAGCUAAUUUAUAUAUUCUAAAUCAGCUGUUCAAGUAUCAUUCCAGUUCAUGGGUUAGCUUUUCAUUAUUGUGGUUCUAAGCACCAUGUUAUGAGUAGAGGGUAGCCUCGGGUCAUGACAAAACUUGGUAUCAGAGCACAGAUUUCAAGUAUCUAGGGUUUCUAUGAAGUCAUGUCUAGUAGAGUCUUGCAGAAUGGUAUGAAGACGUCUGUAAUUUUCUUCAAAAGUUAAUAAGGCAUUUAAUAAAUAUUUCCCCUCUUUUAUGUCUCACAUCGUUCUGUAGAAAAGAUUCUCUAAGAAACUUAUACAGAUUUUCAUCAUGCGUAAUCCAUGUACACUCUACCUUAUUUUCAAAGUAAUAGAAAUAGUGAAGAUCAAAUUCCUACAGAUAGAGCUUUCUCAGACAGUCCCCACAGACAGUUAUUGGAGUGCACACAGGGUUAAAAGUAUCCCAUCAGUGCUUUUAAGUUUUGAAGUUUGAAGGACUUCAUUUAUGUUCAUGAAAAAUCGUGCACUAAGCCAGAGUUUGAUGUGCCCUCAAAUCCCUUCUCAGAGUCCUUUGACAUACUAUGGUUUAGAGGUAGAAGCAUGAACCUAAAAGUUUAGCAACAGUAAAGUGGGGAUAGUGUUAUCUGAAUUUAGUAGAUUAUGUAUCCAUGGAGCUAGUUUUAUGAAGGGUGAAUCAAUUGGCUUGAAAUAGUGCAUAUAAGAAUUUGAGUUUGUUGAUUCGAAAUAUAGUAUGAUAAUGUUAGGUAUAUUGGCAUAGUGGUAAUUCUCAUGGUCUAGGGAAAAAUAUAAGUUUAGAGGUGUGAUAUUAGUAGGCUAUGAAGGAAAAGAAGAAGAUUAUGUGUUUCGUGAGGCAAGUAUGUUGUUGAGAAGGGUGUAUGCAUGUGAUGAUGAUUUCCAAAGCUAAAGGUAGGAUAUAUUAAAGGAUUGUUCAAGAAUGAAGUUAGUAUAGUUCAUUAAAAGAUUGGGGAUAUCCAUGUUAAGUGUUAGAAUUUAAGUUUGAAUCUUGGUUAAAUGAACUAAUAAAAAAAAGAGAUGAAAUUCUAGAUGGUGUGAAUUCAGAAUAUGGUGAUGCUCUCGAAGAUUCUAUUCUAAGAUAGUAAGUGUUUAAGUUAUUAUUUGAUGACUAUUGGGCUAUAGAAAGUUGAGAUAUGUAUCUCAGAAUAAAGUACUAGUGGUGUGUUACACUUUCUGGUGCAGUCUUUAAAGGUGAGUUUAGUAUUCAUGUGUAUUAUUAUAUCUUUGACUCUAGUGUAGAGUGGUUGUAGUCUAUUUUAGAUUUUAUUAAAGAGUUCCACAGACUUAGAAUGAUAGCUUUAAGCUAAGGGGGAGAUGAUAGAACAAGAAACCAAGUUAGGCUUUUAGAGUCUAGUAGUGAUACUAGUAUGUUGUAAAACAACAGUAAACAACGAAGAUGCGCGACCCAUUCUUAUCUCAGUGCAAGGUUUUGUACUUUAGUCAUCACGAAAUCUACUCACGCCUUACAUGUUAGCUCUAUGAUCAUAGCUCAUAUUCAUGCACUUUCCAUAGAAUCAUGUAUGCUUCUAUAUCAUUGUAUGAGGAGUUCCAGUUCACUCAGCAGUGCGAAUUAUAUUCCCUAAAAUUAUGAACUCCAAACUCAGGUCAUGCAACUUAUGACUCAUGUACUCCUGCUUUACAAUAUACUCAAUUCCCAUAACUCACGGUGCACUCAUAAUGACCUGCAAAAUUCAGAUUAUGUCAUGUAUGUCCUUAGUUUUAAUCUCUUUAAUGAAUUCAUGCUUUUGAUAUUCUAUUCCUCUAGCUUUAAUUAAGUGUCGAAGUCAUGCAUAGUACUCUUUCAUGCUUCAGGAUCUCAUGUUGUAAUCUUUCAGUUACCUCUCCUUAUGUAAUGAUAGUGGUGAAGAGUAAUUAAUUAGAUAGGAGAGAGUAAAUGUUUCAUAUUGGGGAAAGAUUGUAACAUGCUUAUUGUAUCUUAGACUAUAAGUGUGAAGAAUGAUUGAGGUAGAACUUUCGAUAUGUGCCAUGGUUAGUUGAAAUUUUAUGUGUAUUUUCUUGGGGAUAGUGCAUGAAAGUUGUUAUUGAUAGAGGUUUAGACAAUAUGAGAAAGAUUCUUUUAUGGGUGUUUGCCUAGAAGUUCGUAUGUGGUUGUAAUGAUAGGCCUGAAUGCCAUGUUGGUAUAUAAGUGGAUUGAUGCAUUGUGUGCUAGCGACUUCCUAGUAAGAGGUUGAAUUAAGUUGUUGAAGUGGUAAGAAGAAUUAUUCUUGAGAUGAGAAUUUGUGAAACACGCAUGUGGUAUUGAAUUCAUGGUUCAGAUUAUUGUUAUGGUGUUAUGUGUAGUACUUUGAAAUUUCAAGUUAGGCUUGAACAUGGAGAGAGUAUGUAGUUCAACUUAGACUUUGGCGGGAAUGGUUAUAUGUAUCCAUGUUAGAGUUAUAUGUUGAAUCAAACAAGCCUAGUAUUUAAGAGAGAAAACAUAGUAGAGAGAUUAUUUGAGAAGUCUGGCUAAGCAUUAAAUUUAGAAGUUGCCUUUCCUAAGGCAUAGUAAUUGUAUCCUAGCCAUUGUUUUAUAGUCCUAUGUUCCAUGAUUAUAGAGUUAUAGCCGUGUUGCGAUUUUAUUGAUAUCAUGACAAGAACUCUUUGCUCCCUAAUGUUAUUAGAACUUCUUAGAAAAGUGCUAUAUAAAUACUCCAGUUGAGUAUAAGCUUUCAGUAUAAUUCAGCCCGUAUAGCUAGCAAUUCAGUUUAAAUCAGAUAAGAUAAGAUCACAUAGCUUCCCUUCUUUCUAUGUAGUCUUCCUAUCCAAAGUUUCAUAAAUAUGCCUAUUCCAUGAGGUAAUUGAUUCACAUCCAUGCAAGUUGUGAAUUUAAUUCAGUCCAUGCAUCACGUUUCAGAUUUAGAUAUGUAGUCAUGAUUCAAUUCUUAAGUGUUUAGUGAAUGACCUCAGUUUUCCAUGUAUUUCAGCGCAAACAGUGUAAUACCUCUUGCAUGAUCUUAGUCUCGUUAUCUCAUGAUUUGUGAUUACAUAAGUUAUCACCUCACUAUUCUAUGUGCAUGAUUGUAUCAUGAACCUUUCAAGUGAGUUCUAGACUCUCAGCACGAAUCAUCUUCUUAUAGUAAAUAUAGUCAAGUCAGCUCAGAAAUCAAUUUCAUGAUUAAAGUUCUAAUGUUUUAGAUCAUCUAUAUCCUUCAUAACCAGACAUGUCAUGUGUACAUCAUUCCACACUUAUAAAACUUCAACAAGUUCCUAUCCUUCAUUUGAGGAUGAAUGAUUCCAAGGGGGAGAUAAUGUAACACCCUAUAUUUUUGGGCUAGACUUUGAACCCUCGUUCCUACGUGUGUAAGCUCUAAUACCAUGAUUUAUAUUUGAAUACAUGUGUCAUGAUCUUUAUCCUAGUGUGUGAAGUGAUUAUGAGGGGAAAAAUGUUCUUAGUAAUCACUUAGAACAAAAUUGAGCUAAGAGCCUUUGAUUCGUCCAAAGUUUGGUAUUUGUUUCUACAAGGGUCAACUUUAAACAUAUAUAACUUUUUAAAUAUGUGGAAUUUUGCAGCUCACAACCCGCCAAAUGAUAUAUAAUUGAGUUGUCUUUCCAAUGAUACCAAUUUAUCCUUAAUACGAUACCCGAGAGAAAAGUUAUGCCCAUUUUCAUGAGAGACAGUAUGUGGUCGUGAUAGCCCCACAUUACGAGGGCUAUUCCACUUAAUUAGGGGUCACAUCAAGAGUGUUUAACUGGACUAGGGGUCACACCGCAGGGGCUAUUCCCCCAUUGUUUCAGCUUUUAAGGGUCAAGACGGUACUUUGGUCAUUUUCCCUAAACCCUAAAUGUCCCAAGCAUGAAUUAAAGCACCAAAAAGGGCAUUAUUUGCCCAUCUUAUUCGAAUCAACUCUUGUAAACACCAUCCUCUUUUCCCUAUGAACAAAGUUCAAGUUUCUCCUCUCAAGAACACAAUUAAUUCAAGGGUCAAUUUCAAUACUUCUUCAAGAAUUCAUCAACUAAGUUAUGUGGGGUUUAUGAACAAGGAUCCUGUCUCAUCCUUGUGACCAAAACUUACUUUAACGAUUAAAGUUAAUGCUUGGCAAUUAGGGUUCAUACCCAAUUAGCCAUAUUCUUCAAUUAUUAUAUUUCCAUGAGAUUAAAGACUUUAAGUUUAUCAAGAUUUACUCAUAUCCAUGUUUCCUCACUAAUUUUACAUUCAAGCCAUGUUAAUAGCUUUAUCAUGUAAAUUAUGGUUCUGUGUGAUUCAAACCCCAAACUUACAUGUCACGUUUGGUCAAUGCCAAGUCAAAUUGUUAAAAUCAUGUAUUUAGCCUUAUAAACAUGAUCCCUUUUUCAAGGUCACUUACUUCCAUAUUUAUAAGUCAUGAGAUUAUUAGUUAUUUAAAUACAUUAUAUUUUGGGUUCCCCAAAUUAGGACUUCCUACAAAUAUUUUAGAUGGUUUUAUCAUAUUUAAAGUGUUAUUUAGUGUUGGCAGGUUAUGAACAUCUGAACCUAUGUAUUUUUACAUGAUUUUAGAUUUUCAAGUAAUAAGUCAGUUAAACCAUGUCUUAUCAUUAUAGUCAGUUGUUAUGCUCAUGUCGAGCACUAUAAAUUUACAUGUUUAUGAUUACUUCAAACUCUGUAUGCACUGAUAUUUUCAAAACACCAUGACCCGAGCUUAUCUUAUCAGCUUUAGUGCAUGCACCAGUUCAUGAUUUAAGUGUCAAUUCAUUUGACAGUAGGAUUUAGCAUCGAGCAAACCUAGGUUUGGGGGCUCACCCGCCAGUUAGGAUUGAAUCCUUAGUAACAGUCCCUAAGUUCUAGAACUAUGUAGCUAGUGUAGGAUAAUGAUAUGCCAUCCACCAGUUUAGGACUGGCACUCUCUUAGGGGUCACCCUCUAGUUUAGGAAUAACUCCCUAGUACUUCAAGACAUUUGAUUAGUGGAUCCACACAGCCAGUGUUAGUGCUCGUGGAAUGGUAAUGACACCCUUCCAGUUGGUUAGACCCCGAUUAGCUUAGAUUGGGGUAUGUCAGUUAGAUGAUACCUCCUACAUUCUUAGUCAGCAUUCAGUGUAUCUCAGAUCAGGUUAGCUUGACCAAGUCUAUAGAUUUUUAGUUAUUUAGUAUAUAGAUUUUGAUCUUUCAAAUUAAAAAUUAUCUAAGAAAUAUGUUUAUGCUUGGUCUUGCAUUCUUAGUUUAACAUGUUCACAUUUCCAUGUUUAGUAUCCAUAAAAGAUCCACUGUUCAGCUUUACAUGAUUAGUAUUCAGAUAUCAGUUAGUUAAUUUUGAUAUAUCAAUUACUUAGUAUAUGGACAUUAGUUAUCCAUUUACUUAAAUUUUAGUAGUUUAGACAGUCAGGUAUCAGCCAUUCAGCUAAUCUGAUCCGCUUAUUCCAUGUUAUGUUUGGUUUGUAUUCUUAAUGAUUCAUGCUCAGUAUAUUUAUAUAUUCAAAUCCUCGAGUUAUGUCAGUUUCCAUCAUGUAGUUUCAGACCCAGUAUUCAUACAGUAUUUAUGUUUUUACCUCAUCCCAGCUUCAGUUAUAUGUAUUCUACAAAAGUAAAGUUUUAAGAAAUUAAGUGUAGUGAUUCAACAGCUUAUCAGAUUAUGUUUGUUACUUAUGUUUUAAGAUACUUCAGCUUUCAGUUUAUUUCAGCCUUUUGGUGAGUCUACUUGCACUUUGGAUGCAUGUUUUAAGAUUAUGUUCCUAAUCACUUUUACUUAUUGCAUUCACCCCCACUUAGUAUAUUCUUGAAGUACUGAUCCAAAUAUAUGUCUAUGUGCUACAUUAUCUCAUAAUGUAGGUACUAGUGUAGCCUACACAUCAUAAUUGGGUAGUUUGCAGCUUCCAGCCAGCAGGUGAUGAGUUCUACUAUUUUGGGGACUCCAGUCAGAUAUUGUUCAUGUACUUUAUUUUUAUUAUUCAUAUAUAUUUAGUAGUGGUAUUUUGAUGCAUGUCCCGAUUAUCUAUAGUUAGUAUAGUAAAGUUUUCAUAGAUAGUCAGUCGGAGUCAUGAAAUGCAAAUUCCAGUUCUCUCUUCAGUUUUAUCAGGUUGUAAACUUUAUCAAUAUUUUAUUUAUCCAGAUUAUGUCAUGAUUAUGUUUUCACAUAACAAAUUUAGCUAAUUUAUAUAUUUUAAAUUAAUUUCUCAAGUAUCAUGCAAGUUCAUGGGUUAGCUUGGGAUCACUUGUGGUUCUGAGAACCGUAUCACAAUAAUGGGAUAGCCUCGGGUCGUUACAUUAUCUCUAUAGGGUUCAUGUUGAUAUGUUUUCUGAUCAUAAGAGUCUUUAGUAUGUGUUUACUUAGGAGUUGAAUAUCAAGCAAAAAAGGUGGCUUGAGUUGUUGAAAGACUAUGAUAGAGUCUUCAUUACUAUCCAGGUAAGGCUAAUGUAGUUUCCAAUAUUCUUAGUAGAUAUUCUAUUGGAAGUUUAGCCCAUGUUCAUGAGGACAAGUGGGAAUUGGUGGAGGACAUUCACUAUUUGGAUAAUCUUGGAGUUCGUCUCACGGACUCAAAUGAUGUGGUGUAUUUGUGCAACAAGUAUCUCAGUCGUCUCUUGUUGUUGACAUAAAGGAAAAACAAAUGGUGGAUCCCGAUUUGAUGAAUAUCAAGUGUAAUGUGGGUCAACAAAAGAUAGUUGACUUUUUGAUUGGUGGUGAUGGUAUCGUGAGGUACCAAGGUAGACUAUGUGUUCCCGACAUUGAUAGAUUGAGAGAAAGGACUAUGGCCAAGGCUCAUGAAUCUCGGUAUGGUAUUCAUCCCGGUUCCAAAGAGAUGUAUUAUGAUCUUAGAAGGUGCUAUUGGUGGAAUAAUUUAAAAUGUGAGCUUGCUAGCUAUGCGGCUAAGUUUAUGGUGUGUCAACAAGUAAAAGUUGAGCACAUGAGGCCUGUUUUUUUGUACCAAACAAUUGUGUUACCAUAAUGGAAGUGGGGGCAAUUAAUAUGGAUUUCAUUUCCACUCUUCUUUGGUCUCGAAAUCAAUAUGUUUCUCUUUGGCUCAUUGUUGAUUGAAUGACCAAGUCUGCUCAUUUCUUGCCAGUAAGGACUACUUACUCGAUGAAGAAUUAUGCUAAAUUAUAUCUUGCAAAGAUCGUGAAAUUGCAUGACCCAAGAAAUUUUGGUUUCUAUCAUUUCUAUCACCUAAAAUGAUGGAAAUAAUGUAACGACCCAACAAAUUUCAGUUUCAAUCAUUUUGGGUCAUGGUCCUCCAUUCUCAUCUCACUUUUGGAAGUCUUUCAAAAAAGGUUUGGGAACUAAGGUGUGCCUUAGUACCACUUUUCACCCACAUUCGGAUGAAUAAAUAGAGAGGACCAUCUAAAUAUUAGAAGAUAUGUUGCGGGCUUGUGCUAUUGAUUAUGGUGGUAAUUGGUACGACUAUUUGCCUUUGAUUGGGUUUGCCUAUAAUAAUAGUUACCACUCUAGUAUUUGGCCCAUUUUAAGCAUUGUAUGGUAGGAGAUGUCGAUCUCCUAUUGGAUGGUAUGAAUUUGGUGAGGGUAAAUUACUUGGCCCCAAUUUAUUUCACCAAGCCUUAGAUAAGGUGAAGGUGAUUCGUGAUAGAUUGAAAACUGCUCAAAGUUGCCAAAAGUACUAUAUAGAUAUGAGGCGUAGGGACUUAGAGUUUAAUAUUGGUAAUUGUGUAUUUUUUAAGGUGUCUCGCAUGAAGGAAGUGAUGUGGUUUGGUUAAAAGAGGAAACUUAGUCCUUGAUAUGUUGGUCUCUGCUUGAUUGAGAAGAGGGUUGUCAAUGUUUCCUAUGAAUUGGAGUUUCCUUCUAGUAUGGACUCCAUUAACCCAGUUUUCCAUGUGUCCAUGUUGUGGAAAUGUGUGGUUCACCCUUCCUUGGUUAUUCCCAUGGAAGAUGUUGGUAUUUUGGACUCUUUGUCCUAUUAGGAUGUCCUAGUGAGGAUCUUGGAUCGACAAGUUCUCCGGUUGUGAAUGAAAGAGGUAGCUUUAGUGAAGGUUCUAUGGAGGAACCAAAAGACCGAGGAAGCUACUUGGGAAGCAAAGGAGAAUAUGAAGUCCAAGUAUCUACAUUUGUUUUUGACAUUUUGGAAACUUAUGAUUGAGGUAUGUAUUAAUCUUCUUACCUUGAGUUGUGUCUUGUUAGACCAUGGGUUCAAGUCCCUAAUGGUUUGAAAUUGUUUGUGUCCUUGUUGUGUAAUGGUUUAAGUCCCUAAUACUUUGAGUUGAUUCAUGUCUUAUGAUGGGUUAUAGUCCCUAGUCAUUAAAUUGAGCAAGUAUUCUUGAUAAGUCAAUGGGUUAAAGUCCCUAAGUUAUGAAAUGAGUAAGUGAUUUGAUAAGUAGUGGGUUUGAGUCCCAAGGUCAAUGAAAUAAAUGGUUGAUGGAUGAUGAUCAUGAUAUUUGUUGUAUCCAUAUUAUGUUCUUGCUUCGAACUUGUUAAAGGUUUGUUUUAUGUGUAAUAAUGUGCUAACGUGUUUUUACGGUUGUCUCACCCAUCAUUCGAGGACAAAUGAUUCCAGUGGGGCAGAAUUGAAACACCUAGGCUUUAAACCAUAAGAAAGUUUCUUCAUUUGAUGUCUCUAGCUAGGUAAGACUAAGGGUACCACUUGUACCCCUUGGAUACGAGUUGUAGACCCCCUCUCAUACCCUAGGAAGUAUGGUCAGGGUUACUCACUGUCCUAGGUACGAGUUAUCUCCCAAUCAUAACUAACGUACAAGUCAUACCUAACAUGGUCGUAUAGAGAGGUGUCUUAGACUUAAAGUGGACUGUUUUUGGUAUGAGUGGUGUGUAAGGUUUAGGGAAUGAGUCGUACCCCUUGGAUAUGACUCAAGGGUGUGUAGUCGUACCCUAACUAGUGUAGAUAACCUAGGAGAAGCCUAGUAAAGAGUUGGAGGCGUGGGGGGCCUCAAGGUGUUGUCUCCCCCCCCCCCCCGGAAAGCCACUAUUUAGUGCUUUAUGGUUAUUUCCCACCGCAAAACCCUUAAUUCCUUUCACUAUAUAAGACAUUGUAACCUCCUAAACCCUUAUUUACAAGACUUAAACAUUCCAAAACACUCUCAAAGCUUCUUGAAACAAGAUUGGAAGCUAGGGGUUGGAGGGUGUUCAUCUAGAAGCAACGAAGAGUUAAUAUCCCUUGGUGAAUCAAGUUAUCUAAGGCAUGUAACUAUUUCCCUUGUUUUAAACCAAGCACCAUGUGUUUUAGACAUAGAUUAAUACUUGUAAAUGAUUAUUUUGAAAUCAAAAUGUUAAGGGUUUGAUGCCUAGUGAUGAGUUAUGUGUGUUCUUGCUUAGACUUGUGUUUAUACAUGAUAUUGUUGAUAUUUUGUACAUAUGGGCAAUUUUUAUAUGUGGUUUAACAUGUAGGUCUUGAUUAACCCUAAUCUUGACUAUUUCUACCUUUAAAUUAGCCUUGGUAAGGGCAUGCACAAAAGGUGUUUGUGAAAAUGUCUUAGUGAAUUGUCUAGUCACAUGGUCGGGUUGUUUUGAACUAGGGAAAUGGCCCAAUAAGUAUGAUUGAUAAAUUAUAUUGUAAAGGUAUUAUGAGCCAUGUAUUGUGUAAUUGACGACCUUGUUGGUUUGACAGCUAAUAAGAGGUUAAAGUCCUUAGACAUGAAAUUGAAAUUGAAUUGGUCACAUUUUAUUCAUGAAAUGGCUUGGAUUGAUAUUAGUCUGGAUAUGGCAAAAUCAUUCUAUUAGAUUGAAUAAGUAAAUUCGAUCUAAUAAGUACCUUGUGUUAGAAUUGAGAAAUUUUAUGGCUUGGAUCUUUAGUAUUCUCUUAUUUAUUACCUGUGUCUACAAUUUAGGCAGAAUACCCUCACCCAUUCUUACUAAGAAACUGAAAGAAGCUAAGAAACUGAAAGAGGCCUCAAAAACAGAAGAAAGGGAGGAAAGUGAGGAAGAAAGAGAUGUAGAAACUGCUUCCGAAAUGAAGGGGACUAAACAGGAACAAGAGGGAUCCACUGAAGAAGAUCCUUAUCCUUCUCCUUCCCCUUUUUCGGAAGAAGGGUCGGAUCCGGACAAAAUCGAUGAAACGGAAGAAAUUCGAGUGAAUGGAAAGGACAAAAUAAAGGAUAAAUUCCACUCUUACCUUACAGAGAGAGGCUAUAAAAAUAUUAAUACUAGUAAUUGUGAAAUUUAUGAUAAAAAAGAUUCUUAUCUGAAUUUGAUUCAAAAAUCAAAAAGUCACGGGUAAUCCAAAAAAUUUUAAAUUGCAAUUUCUUGAUAACGAAAAUGAAAAUCAAGAACUCUUCGGGUUUCAAAAACCUCUUUUGAGUAUUCUUUUUGAUUAUAAUCGGUGGAAUCGACCAUUUCGCUACAUAAAGAAUAAUCGAUUUGACCAAGCCGUAAAAACUGAAAUGUCACAAUAUUUUUUUGACACAUGUAAAAGUGAUGGAAAACAAAGAAUAUCUUUUACAUACCCGCCAAGUUUAUCAACUUUUUUGAAAAUGAUAAAAAGAAAGAUACCCCUAUUGUCACUCCAAAAAACGCUCCCUCAUGAACUGGACAAUCAGUGGGUUUCUACCAACAAAGAAAAAAGUAAUAAUCUGAAUAAGGAAUUUUUAAAUCGACUUGAAGUUCUAGACAAGGAAUCUCUUUCUCUGGAUAUACUUGAAACAAGGACUAGAUUGUGUAAUGAUGAUACUAAAAAAGAAUACAUGCCUAAAAUGUACGAUCCUUUGUUAAAUGGACCAUAUCGAGGAACAAUCAAAAAAGGGGUUUCACCUUCAAUCAUAAACAAUAAUUCGCUAGAAAAUUUGAAAGAGAGAGUUAGACUAAAUAGGAUUCAUACUAUCUUUCUUCCGAAUACUGAUUACCAAGAAUUUGAACAAAAAGUGGAUACGAUUGAUAAAAAACCAUUAUCAACAGAAAUUGACGAGUUCUUAACUUUAAUCAAUGAAUUUGGUAAGGAACCAAAAUCGAGUUUAAAUUUGAAAGACCUUUCUUUAUUUUCAGACCAAGAACAGGUAAGAACGAAUUCAGAAAAAGGAACUAAAUUUUUAAAAUUUGUAUUCAACGCAAUUGAUCCUAAUGAGACAAAAUCUGGAAACAAAUCGAUUGGAAUAAACGAAAUCAGUAAAAAAAAACCUCGCUGGUCAUGUAAAUUAAUCACCGAAUUGGACCAACAAUUGGGUAAAUUUGAAGAUGGCCUAUCAGUAGAUUAUCAAAUUCGUUUAAGAAAAUUCAAACGUGUAGUUAUUUUUACUGCCAACAACGAGAAGAAGGAUCCUGAUGAGACCAACGAGGAAGUGCCUUUAAUAAUCUAUUCGCAACAAUCCGAUUUUCGGCGAGGUAUAAUUACAGGCUCUAUGCGGGCUCAAAGGCGAAAAACAGUUAUUUGGAAACUAUUUCAAGCAAAUGCGCAUUCCCCCCUUUUUAUCGACAGAAUAACCCCCCCCCGUCUUUUUUCUUUUGAUAUCUCUGGACUGAUUAAACCAAUUUUUCGAAAUUGGACAGGUAAAGAGGGAGAAUUCAAGAUUCUAGAGUCUAAAGAAGAACAAACAAAAAGAGAAGAGAAAAAAGAAAAGGACAAAAAAAAGGAGAACACCAGAAAGGAAAAAGCACGGCUAGCGGUAGCAGAAGCCUGGGAUAACAUUCUUUGUGCGCAAAUAAUAAGAGGUUACAUGUUAAUAACUCAAUCAAUUCUUCGAAAAUAUGUUGUAUUACCUUCAUUGAUAAUAGCCAAAAAUCUCGGGCGUAUGUUAUUCUUGCAACUUCCUGAAUGGUCUGAGGAUUUGCAGGAAUGGAAUAGAGAAAUGCAUAUUAAAUGUACUUAUAAUGGUGUUCAAUUAUCAGAAACAGAAUUUCCACAAAAUUGGUUGAGCGAUGGGAUUCAGAUCAAAAUUUUAUUUCCUUUUUGUCUGAAACCUUGGCAUAUAUCUAAACUGCACCCCUCCCGCGUAGAGCUGAUGAAAAAGAAAAAACAAAAAGAUGAUUUUUGUUUUUUAACAGUUUUGGGAAUGGAAGCUGAACUUCCCUUUGGUUCUCCCCGAAAGCGCCCUUCCUUUUUUGAGCCCAUUUUUAAGGAACUCGAAAAAAAAAUUGGAAAAUUUAAAAAGAAAUAUUUUAUAACUUUUAUAACUAUAACUCGAAAAGUUUUAAAAGGAAAAACAAAAUUAUUUCGAAGAGUUUCAAAAGAAACCAAAAAAUGGCUUAUAAAAAAUAUUCUAUUUCUAAAAAAAAUAAAAAAAGAACUUUCAAACAUAAAUCCAAUUGUAUUAUUUAGAUUCAAAGAAAUAUCUGAAUCGAAUGAAACGAAAAAAGAAAAAGAUUAUCUAAUUAGUAAUCAAAUAAUUAACGAAUCAUUUAGUCAAAUUGAAUCUGGAAAUUGGCCAAAUUCUUCACUGAUAGAAACCAAAAUGAAGGAUUUGACUGAUAGAACAAGUACAAUAAAAAAUCAAAUAGAAAGAAUUACAAAAGAGAAAAAGAAAGUAACUCCAGAAAUAGACAUUAGUCCUAAAUCGCCAAAAAAUAUUUUCCAAAUAUUAAAAAAAAGAAAUACUCGAUUAAUAUGUCAAUUCCAUUAUUUUAGAAAAUUAUUCAUUCAAAGAUUAUACAUCGAUCUAUUUUUAUCUAUCAUUAAUAUUACAAGAAUUAAUACACAACUCCGUCUUAAAUCAACAAAGAAAUUGAUUGAGAAAUACAUUUCCAAUAAUGAAAUAAAUCAAGAAAAAAUUAAUAAUAAAAACAAAAUUAACUUUAUCUUUAUUUCGACUAUAAAAAAGUCACUUUAUAAUAUUUAUAAUAUUAGUAAGAAAAAUUCACAUAGUUUUUUUGAUUUAUCCUACUUGUCACAAGCAUAUGUAUUUUACAAAUUAUCACAAACCCAAGUUAUUAAUUUGUCUAAAUUUAAAUCUGUUCUUCAAUAUAACAGAACGUCUUUUUUCCUUAAGACUAAAAUAAAGGACUAUUUUAGAACACUAGGAAUAUUUCAUUCUGAAUUAAAACAUAAAAAACCUCAGAGUUAUAGAAUCAAUCAAUGGAAAAACUGGUUAAGACGGCAUUAUCAAUACGAUUUAUCUAAGAUUAGAUGGUCUAGAUUAAUGCCAAAAAAAUGGAGAACUGGGGUUAAUCAAAGUUGUAUGGCUCAAAAUAAAAAUAGAAACUUAAACAAAUGGAAUUCAUAUGAAAAAGACCAAUUAAUUCAUUACAAAAAAGAAAAUGAUUCUGAACUCUAUUCAUUAUCAAACCAAAAAGAUAAUUUUAAAAAAUGUUAUAGAUAUGAUCUUUUAUCAUAUAAAUCGAUUAAUUAUGAAAAUAAAAGUUACUCAUUUAUUUCUAGAUUACCCUUUCAAGUAAAUAAGAACUUCGAAAUUUCUUAUAAUUCCAACACGCCCAAACACAACCCUUUUGAUAUGCCCGACAAUCUUCAUAUCAAUAAUUAUCUAAUAAAAGGCAAUCUUCUACAUCUACAUAUAGAAAGAAAUCUCGAUAGAAAAUAUAGAAAAUAUUUUGAUUGGAAAAUUCUCCAUUUUUCUGUUAGACAAAAAGGAGAUAUUGAGGCCUGGGUUAAGAUCGAUACCAACAGUAAUCGAAAUACUAAAAUUGGUAUUAAUAAUUAUGAAAUAAUUAAUAAAAAAGGACUUUUUUAUCUUACAACUCAUCAAAAUCCAGAAAAAACUAAAAAAAAUUCGAAAAAAGACUUUUUUGAUUGGAUGGGAAUGAAUGAAAAAAUAUUUAAUCGUCCCAUAUUGGAUAUGGAAUUUUGGUUCUUCCCAGAAUUUGUACUACUUUAUAAUGUAUAUAAAAUAAAACCGUGGAUUAUACCAAGCAAAUUACUUCUUUUAAAUUUGAAUACAAAUGAAAAUGUUAGUAAAAAUCAAAAUAUCAAUAAAAACAACAAAAAAAACUUUUUUCUACCAUCAAAUAAAAAAAUAAAGAAUCGAAUUCAAGAAGCAAAAGAACCCGCAAGUCAAGGAAAAAGAGAGCGUGGAUCAGAUAUAGAAAACAAAGGAAAUCUGGGCCCUGUUUUCUCAAAACAUCAAAACGAUCUUGAAAAAGAUUACGCGGAAUCAAACACAAAGAAGGGUAAAAAUAAAAAACAAUACAAAAGCAACACGGAAGCAGAACUAGAUUUGUUCUUGAAACGUUAUUUGCUUUUUCAAUUGAGAUGGAACGAUACUUUGAAUCAAAGAAUAAUCGAAAAUGUAAAGGUAUAUUGUCUCCUGCUUCGACUGAUAAACCCAAACAAAAUUGCUAUAUCGUCAAUUCAAAGGAGAGAAAUGAGUUUGGAUAUAAUGCUGAUUCAGGCGAAUUUACCUCUUACAGAAUUGAUGAAGAAGGGGUUAUUGAUUAUCGAACCUAUUCGAUUGUCUGUAAAAAAUAAUGGACAAUUUAUUAUGUAUCAAACCGUAGGUAUUUCAUUGGUUCAUAAAAGUAAACACCAAACUAAUCAAAGAUACCGAGACCAAAGAUAUGUUGAUAAAAAUCAUUUUGAUUUGCUUGUUCCUGAAAAUAUUUUAUGGUCUAGACGUCGUAGAGAAUUGAGAAUUCGAAGUUUUUUUAAUUCUUUGAAUUGGAAUGGCGUCGAUAGAAAUUCAGUAUUUUCCAAUGAAACUAAUGUAAAAAACUGGAGUAAAUUUUUGGAUGAAAGGAAACCUCUUUAUAAAGAUAAAAAUGAAUUAAUUAAAUUAAAGUUCUUUCUUUGGCCUAAUUAUCGAUUAGAAGAUUUAGCUUGUAUGAAUCGUUAUUGGUUUGAUACCAACAAUGGUAGCCGUUUCAGUAUCUUAAGGAUACAUAUGUAUCCACGAUUGAAAAUUAAUUGAUAUUACUAUAUACCCUGUCUCGUAUAGAGUAUCUGAAAGAAAACAAAUGCACACAUGCCUUGUCUUACAUCUCAUUCGAAUCUAAUUCGAGUAGACGAUACUAAAUCAAUAAGGUAUCGAUUAGAUCUAGAAAU